rnacentral:lncRNA from 1 species
UGUAAUAAUAAUAAAAAUUAAAAUUGAAAUUAAAAAUUUAUAAAAACAACAAAAAUCUAUUUUCUUUUUUCAGAAUUUUUUUUUGGAAUUAUUUCUCAUCAAACACCACAAUUUUCAACUCCAAAUUUUUCUUUUUGUUAAAAAAGGGAAAGAUUUACAUUUCCAAACGGGCCCUUAGUGCACUUACCAGAUCAUCAGAGCACUAUUCUUUCCGAAAAUAAAUCAAAACACAAGAAAUAAACUAUAGCCAACCAAAUCAGGGUAACAAGAUAUGCAAUAGCACAUAAACCAGUAGAAACUCAAUUCAAGGGAGUGUAUUUUCGACGAACAACAAUUAUAAACGGAGAAGGAAGUGGCGUUGCUUCCAUAGCUUUGGCCGGGGCAACGCCAUAUGUACAAAGCUCCGGUCAGAUCGGGCCCAACAAUGGUACAACAACAAUGAGGGGGAGCAGCGGGUGGUGGAGGAAGAUCCGAGGUUGAACUCCGGUGGUUGUUUGGUUGUGAUUCCGGCCAGAUUUGGACGGAGAAGAUAGAAGAAGAGAUUGGGGUAUGUUGGUAUGGUUGUCGGAGCCGUUUGGGGAUGGAGAAAGGAGGAAGAGAGUGGUAAUUUAUGGUGGCUGGUCGGCGGGCUGGUGGAUGUUUCGCCGGUGUUGGUGACUCGUGGUGGUGCGGCGCGGCUGGAGAGGGGGAAAAGAAGAGGGAAAGGGGAGAAGGGGACUGGUUGGUGGAGGUUACCGUGGUGGCCGGAGCUCCGGCGGUAAAGGGCGGCAAGGGAAAGGGGGGAAAAGGAGAAAAAAUACGGGAGAUGAGAGAGAGACUGACGUAUGGAAUCUGAUAUUUGUGUGUGUAUUGUGUGUGUAUAUUGUGUAUUUUUAUUUUUUCUCAAAAAUAAUAAAUAUCCCUCCCAUUCUUUUAUAAUAUAAAGUGACCCCUUUUAUUAUCCAAAAAAAUGAAGAAUUAACCCCUUUUUGUCUCCCUAAUGCAUGAUUUAAACCACGGAUUAUUAUCUUAUGGAUUUUUCACCUUUUAAACUAAAAUAUAUAAAAAAAAUUAUCCAAAAAAUAAAAAUCUCAAUUCGUCAUCUUAAGUGUUUAAAAGUAACGAGGCCUUGACUUGAUUGAUUUGUUUCUCUGUGUAUUAAAAUAAUUAAACUGACUCACAUUUGCAUGCAGAUCAUAUUAAAUAAUGUAUAAAGUAAUGAAUAUCGAUAUAUAAUUACUGAAAAAUAUAAACAACAAAUAAAAAGUAUAAUUAUCUUGAAAAAAAUAUAUUAUGCUAUAAAUAAUUAAAAUUAUAUUAUGCAAUAAAAAAUUACAAUGCUGUGUACGUAUGUAAAUAACUGGGCAAAAAAAAAUUAAAAUAAUAAUAAAAUGAUAAGAAUUCUAAAAUUUAUGAAAUUAAAGAUAAUUAUCAAUAAAUUAUGUAAAAUUAAAAUAUGAAAAUAAAUGUGUAAAAAAUUUUAAAAUAAUGAUGAUUAUCAAUAAUUUAUUAACAAUUGCAAAAAUAAGUGAAAAAUUGUAUAUUGUGCCAUUUAACGAUCAGAGAGCCUAUAUACGUUAAUUUAAGUAUGGAGAGUCAAAAUUAGGUGUCAAUAGUUUGCCCCUUUUCGUUUGAAGAUAAUGUAGAAGUCUUCAAACGAAAACGUUGAUGUGUAGCCAAUUUUGCUCGACAAAAAAAUAUUUUUAAUAAAAAAAUUCUAGUGAACUCCAAUUUGGAUUUGCCUACAUUUUUUGAGUUGCUUGAGAAACAGGUUGGGUAUAGCUCAAAAGCUAUCCCAGUAUGUCCUACUUUUGGUUGGACAAACCCAAUACUUUCGCGAAUUCUAUGCUGCAAAAAUUUACAAAACUAAAAAACAACAGAUAAACUGGUAAUUAAGCUGAAUUUUAUUUUUCAAGAAAUGUAAAAAUAAAUAAACAAAGACAUUACAAGAUUUUAACCAAAGACAAGUAAAAUAUUCAAUUAAAAAUAAAAAUUACAUAAAGAUCUUAUUAGGGAGCAGAUUAACCCAAAAUAUUUCAUUUUAGGGUGGACGGACCUAAUUUAUCAUCAAAUGAUAUGCUUGCAAGUGCAUCAAACUAGGAAGUACUUCUUAAUAAAACAUAAACGAAAAAUUUAACUUGAUUUUCUUUUUUCCUUUUUAAAGAAAUUAAAGAUAACAUGCAGUGCUUAACUAAUUAAGAAAAAUUGUACAGAAAAAGAUAACAUUUAGUGCUUAAAUUGUAAAAAUAAGUACAUUACAAUAUUUACAGGUAAAAACAAAGCAUGCAGUGUUUAAAUAAGAAGGUAAACGCAUUGCAAUGUGCAAAUAAAUGUAAAGAUGACAUGUGGUGCUUAAAUUAUAAAACAAAUAUAUUGUGAUAUGUGCAAGAAAAAGCCAAGAUGACAUGCAGUGCUUAAAUGAUAAAAUAAAUAUAUUACGAUAGUUGCGAGGCAUGCGGUGCAUAAAUGAUAAAAUGCAUUGUGAUAUGUCGUGCAGUACUUAAAUAAAAAAAAAAAAUGCAUUGCGAUAUGUGUCAGCAAAGACAAAAUGAUAUGCAUUGCUUGAAUGAUGAAAAUAAAUACAUUGCGAUAUUUACGAGGCAUGCGGUGCUUAAAUGAUAAAAUGCAUUGCGAUAUAUGCGUGCAGUGCUUAAAUAAGAAAAAUAAAUGCAUAGCGAUAUGUCAAUAAAGGCAAAGAUGACAUGCAGUGUUCAAAAGGUGAAAUGAAUGCAUUGCGAUAUUUGCGAAGCAUGCAGUGCUUAAAUGAUAAAACGCAUUGUGAUAUGUGCGUGCAGUGCUUACAUGACGAAAUAAAUGCAUUGUAAUAUUUGCGAGGCAGCAGUGCCCAAAUGAUAAAAUAAAUGCAUUGCAUUAUGUGCGUGCAGUGCUUAAAUGCAGAGCAAUAUGCGAUGAUAAAAGUAAGAAUGGGAUGCAAUGCUGAAAUGAUAAAAUAAACACAUUGCGAUAAGUGCGAGUAAAGGUAAGAAUGACAUACGAUGCUUGAAUAAUAAAAUAAAUAAAUACAUUGCGAUGCGUGCAAGUAAAGAUAAGAAUAAAAUGCGGUGCUUAAAUGAAUAAAUGCAGUGCGGUAUACUGCCAACAAAGACAAAGAUAACAUGCAGUACUUAAAUAAUGAAAUAAAUGCAUUACAAUAUUUGCGAGGCAUGCAGUGCUUUGAUAACAAAAUGCAUUGCGAUAUGAGCCAGUAAAGGCAAAGACGACAUGCAGUGCUUAAAUAAUAAAAUAAAUGUAUUGCGAUGUGCAAGUAAAGAUAAAGCUAGCAUGUAGUGCUUAAAAGAUAACAUAAAUGCAUUGCAAUGUGUGAUGCAUUGCAAUGUGUGCAAAUAAAGAUAAAAAAAAUGUGCAGUGCUUAAAUGCAUUGCAAUGCGUGCAAAUAAAAGUAAGAAUAAAAUGCGGUGCUUAAACGAUAAAAUAAACGCGUUACGAUGCGUGCAAAUAAAGACAAAGAUAAAAUACAGUACUUAAAUGAUAAAAUAAAUGCAUUGCGAUAUGUGUCAGCAAAGGCAAAAAUAGCGUGCAGUGUUAAAUAAUAAAAUAAAAUACAUUGCGAGAUGUGCAAAUAAAUAAAUACAGUGCUUAAAUAACAAAUGAUAAAAAAAAAUACAUUGUGAUGCGUGCAAGUAAAGCAAAGAUAGCACACAAUGCAAAAAAAAAAGUAAAUAUGUGUAAGUAAAGACAAGCAAGUAUAAAUAUUAAAUUAAAAAAAAGCGUGUACACUGUCUUUUGGAGGGCAGACCGACCCGAUUAUCCUAUUUUAGGGUGGAUAAAUCCAUGUAAAAAAAUAAAUAUUAAGCAAAGAAAUAUUUGGGAAUGAAAGUAUUCACAUAUUCUCGAUGCUGCUUUCAAAAUUGCCCCAGUAUCAAGUUGUAAGAUGCUGGGGAAUGCAAGAUCGUGUACUUGCUGGGGAGAAAGAAUAUUUAUGGAUUGUGACGACCGAACUCUGCGUAGAACUUCCUACAUAUCUCGAAUGUUAUGAGAAUCAGGCCAAUGUAGUUCGAAAUAAGAAAAUAAAGUAAAUUUUGAGGUGGAUUCUUAAAAUUUGCUCCAGUGUAUGAUAUAUGGCUAACACUGUCUCUUUGAAAAAAAAAAACUUAAAAAGAUGUACGACGUCUCCCGAUUGUCUAUGGGGACUUGAAAAUGAAUGAAGUCUUUGAUUAUCUACGAAGAUUGAGGUACUCAGCUAGUGAGGUGACUGAAAUCUAAUAGCCUCUCGAUUGAUAUGGCUAUAAAAAAUGUAAAAAAUACUUAAAUGGGCGCCUAACUACAAAAUAAAAUGCCGGUAUUUAAAGGCAUGUCUUUGAAAGAAAAAAUCAAAUAUCCUUAUUUGAAAAUUAGGUACUUUAAAUAAAAAGUAAAAAUGCAUUUAUGUUAAAGUCGACAUCUUGAAUGAAAGGUAAAAAAGGAUGUCCGUAUGUUAAAGCGGACGUCUUUAAACAAAAGAAAAAUAUUGUAUUUUUUAGUUAAAAAUGCUAAAAGAUGAAGAAGACACAAUCGUGUUUUGACUUCAGUUGGUACCAAUAAUUAGUAGUGUGCAUAAGAAUUCUCCCAUCUCCUUUUCAGCUAACCGAGAUCAACUUCAGGGUAACUUUUAUAGUUUCAAGUGGUACCUCAGAUACGCCUAAGUAUCGACAAGAUUUGUUCGUCUUGUUCCAAAUAAAGAUUUUAAACUAUGUCUAUUCUUAUAUUUCAAGUGCCCAAUCCAGAAAGAAAGUCUCAUUUCGUACAUAUUUGAGUAAUUUUCUUUUUAAAUUUGGACAAAUCUAGAGAAAUACACUCACACACAGAAAGAAUUCAAUGCAUGUAAUUGUGAUACCAUAGGCUUGACCUCCAUGUAAGUAUCCACUAAUGUGAGAACGCUUGAAAUAGGAUCUCGUAGUACUUUAUAUCAGCUUGUAAUGUAGGCUUGAGGACGGGUAGAAUAAUACUUGGGAUAAAAGUGACUAAUCCCUCAAUGAGCAUUACACUGCAUUUGUGCUUUCAACAUUUGUUGUGCUUUGACGCAUGAUCUUUUAGUUGUGCUUCGUUGUCUCUUGCUUUGCAUUUGCUUCGACUUCUUUUGAAUUUUGCGUUGGAGUUUUCCCCCACUUUUCAAGAAAUUAUAUUUUUUUUAUUCUUUUCUCUUUUUUGGGGGAUUUUGCUCUUUUCGAAGUCAUUUUUUAUUUUUUGUUCAUCUGAUAACAUAUUCUUUGUCUUUUGCGUCUUCGAUCUUGAAUCUUCGUUCGUAAUUUGCACGUAUUUAAUGCGCUCAAGGAGGUAGGGCAAAGAGAGGGAUAGUGCAUGUAAGCACUCAGAAAGGUAUAGUCUUAGAUGCGGUUGUCCAAAUAAAAGGUCUUAGGCUAAAAAAGGGGAAUGCUAGGGAUUAAUGUCAUUUGGUGGGCUAUGAAAGGCUCAAUCGGGUCAAAAAAGGCCUACGGUCCUUUUCUAAACUAAGUGCAACUCAGAAUUUUGCUUCAACAGACAUCAAAGUCAAGUUCUAGAUCAACAAUGUAAUGCAAUAAAUUAAGCUAAAGCUCGCCACACAAUGCACAUGAAACAAUGAGGUUGGCUUCGUUUUUGUCUUAAAUGUAUGCAAGAGAAUUUUCAAGUGUUACUUAGAUGUGAUAAAAGGUACCAAAAGAACCUAUGGCUUACCAUAAAGUCUACUCCUCCUACCAUAUCAAUCUGCUCUUUCUCAUGCACACUCCUAACUGUAGAUAUCAACUAAGUCAAAAUUUUAUUUUAUUUUUUUAAAAAAGAAUGGGAUCGAACCCAAAUAAGGGUUGCCUACGUAUCUUAUGAAAACAAGAAUCAGGUCUGCGUAGUUCAGGCAAAUUUGUGAAUUAGUAUGCGCCAUGUAUGAUAAGAAAAUAAUGGUCAUUAAUAAAAAUAAUGUGAAAGACGAUCAGGAAAGAACUGCUGGAAAGAACUGCUUUUAGCAUCAAAAUUAUUCUGAUCAAAUGAUCGAAAGAAUGGAUGUAAAGCAUGAGAAGAGCUUGGACACAACUUCAGUAUGCUGACAAAAUUAAAAAGCUGAAUAUUGAAGGAAUUAUGAUGUUAUUUUAUCGUAGUUGGCAGAAUUAUUAUAAUUGAAAAAUAUUAAAUUCUUGCUUUAGAGAGUGGGGAUCAAUACGUCAUAAAUUUAAUGGUUCACGACGUUCGAAAAAAGAAACUAGGUAAAAUUGAGUAAAGAUCUGAAGAUAGGCCGGCUAGGCACUAAUGUCAAUGAGAUUUGAAUUUUGAGGAGCUAUUAAAUUGCGCUCUUGAAGGCUUUUUGAGAGCGUCUUUGAACUGUUUCAGAAAAUUGCCCCAAUUUGAAUACCGGAGAAAUUAUUCUGAAAUAGUGAAGAGCCCGAACCCUAAUGCAGGGUUGCCUACGUAUUUUGUCAAGACAAGAAUCAGGUCAAAACGUAGUUCAAACGUAUACGCAAUUAUUGACAAUGUUACCAAGGUGCAUCUUUUAACUAAUUCGCACUGCAAAACAAAGGUUAAAUUACAUCUUCUCACUAAAGUAUAACCAAUUAAUAGUAAAUAGGCAUAAUUAUUCGUUAAAUAUGUACAGAAACUAUGAUAGUGUGUUACUUUGGGUCGUAAACCCUUCGGACAUUUGGAUAAAACUAACUAACAAUGCAUGUACCUAAAAAAAUGUUAUUUUAGCUCUAUUCUAUGCUAACUAAGAGUGGGUAAACAAGGACUUGGAUUUCCUAUAUGACAAGGUACAUAGUCCCACGAUAGUAAAACUCCCGCUUACCCCACAUAUACGCCAACUCUCUAAAAUAAGGUGAUUUAAAUUUUUUUUGAGAAAGUACAAUCCACGUGUACAAUGUGUGCUAGUGUCAGUUUUCCAAAAUGGAGAAAAUAUGAGCGGAAUGAUAAUUUAUAUAAAGCAAUAAACAAUCUAUAAACAAAUAAAUAAUUUAAGCCAUAUAAACAUGAUAAAUCAAGACAAUUAGUAUGAAACAAAUAACAAUGUAUAAAAACAUAAAUAAUUACCUAAAUUUGUAAUGGUUAAAACUUUGUAUUUCCCAGUAGAGUCGCCAAACUGUCAUACCCUAUUUUUACCUAAGGUCAAAACGAGCAUGACAUUAUGGACUCUAAAAGAAUAAAUUUUGUACAGAGUCGCCACCUAAUUUUUAAAGAAAAUGAGGAAACCUAUUUAAUUAUUAGCAAUUAUGACUUUAUUUUAAUCUGUAAAAUCAAUUUAGAUUCAAGAUAAGGGUUCAAAUUAUUUCGAAGGGAAGGUAUUAGGCACCCUUCAGAAUCCACAAAUGUAGUUCCCGAUUAGACUUAGAUUUUUUAUGAGGCGAAGGAAAAAAUCAAUGCUUAUAAAUAAAAUUCAAAAUAUACAUUAAAAUAAUAUAAACUAUUUGCAUAUAAAGAAUGUAUAAAUUACAUAAAUUAUUGUAUAUAAAAAAUGUGUGAAGAUGAUCAAAAGUAUAUAAGAAUAUGUAUAAAAAGAAAAGAAAAAUUGAAUAAAGAAAAAUUUAUUUUAAAUAAAAAGAUUAUGCAAUAUUUUCAAAUGUAUAAGUAUGAAUUAAUUGAUUAAAUAUCUAAAUUAAUUUAUUUUUUUUAUAAAUAUUAACGACCUAAAUUUGUCUAAAUACGCGGUAAAGAUUGUAUAAGUUAAAACAUUCCCGCCCAAUGCCUCCAAAAUAAAGUUUUCACUAUGAUAAUAUUUGUACAAAUAUAAAAAUAUAAUGCAAAAUUUAAAAUCUUCCUUGAAUGUCACUCCCGAUGAAUUUUUUCAAUAACCUGUAUAAACAAACACUUACAAUAAAAAUGUUAGUAACAAAUAAAUAAUUAUUAAAAAAUUAAGAAGAUGUGUGUACAUAUAUGUAUAAAAACUAGAAUUUUUCAGUAAAAAAUAUAGGCUCGGAUCAAAUUUUAAGUACGUCAUGAAAUAUGGGCUCAGACCAAAUUUUAGUUACGUCAUGUCUACGAAAUGAUUGCUUAAUUUAUUAACCGUCCUAAAUCGUCUUGCCAAGAUAUAAAUCAUAAAACUUUUGCGUUGUUAUAAAAAUUUUGUCAUCGCUCAAUUCAUUUAUUUUAUUACAUAUUUAUAUACAUAAUAUCCAUCUUUUUAUUUGUGCAAGCCUAAAAAAUCGACGAAAAAUUUCUUCAUUGAUCAACUAGCGUAGUAUUUUAUUCAUUAUCAAUAUAACCUCAAAGUCAGUAAAUAAAAAGGAUGAAAUCCUCCAAAUUUAAUUCCUAAAGAAUGCGACCCAGUAGCAGAAUACAUCAAAAAUUAUGCCUCAUCAGUCCAAAAUAAUGCUGAUAAAAAGCAAAAUAAACUAAAUGCAUUAGCAGUAGGCAACUCAGAAAACAACAACAAACAUUUAGUGCACUUAGUAGAUCAUCAAAGCACUACUCUUUCCGAAAAUAAAUCAAAAUACAAGAAAUAAACUAUAACCAACCAAAUCAGGGUAACAAGAUAUGCAAUAGCGCAUAAAGCAGUAGAAACUCAAUUCAAGGGAGUGUUUUUUCGACGAACAACAAUAAUAAACGGAGAAGGAAGUGGCGUUGCUUCCACGGCUUUGGCCGGAGCAACGCCAUAUGUACAAAGCUCCGGUCAGAUCGGGCCCAAAAAUGGUACAACAACAAUGAGGGAGAGCAGCGGGUGGUGGAGGAAGAUCUGAGGUUGAACUCCGGUGGUUCCACAUUAGGCCGGAGAAGAUAGAAGAAAAAAUUGGGGUAUGUUGGUGUGGUUGCCGGAGCUGUUUGGGGAUGGAGAAAGGAGGAAGAGAGUGGUGGUUUGUGGUGGCUGGUCGGCGCGCUGGUGAAUGUUUCGCCGGCGUUGGUGGCGCGUGGUAGUGCGACGCGGUUGGAGAGCGGGGAAAAGAAGAGGGAAAUGGGAGAAGGGGGCUGGUUGGUGGAGGUUGCCGGAGCUCCAGCGGUAAAGGGCAGCAAGGAGAAGGGGGAAAAGGAGAAGAAAAACGUGAGUUAAGAGAGAGAAUGGCGUAUGGGAUCUGAUAUUUGUGUGUGCGUAUUGUGUGUGUAUAUUGUGUAUUUUUAUUUUUUCUCAAAACUAAUAAAUCCCCCUCCCAUUCUUUUAUACUCCCUCCGUUUCACAAAAAUAAGUGAAUUAUUGGAGUAAUUUUAAUGUUUCAAAAUAAGUGAAUGAUUUACAAUUCAAGAUAGAUGUUGAAUUUCUUUUUCAAAUUUAUCCUUCAUUAAAUGUGCAUUGAAAAUGAUGUAUCAUGUGCCUUUAUUUUUUGAAUAAGGUAAAAAAUGAAAAAACAUGAUAAAUUUAUAUUUUUGCUUUUUUUUCUUAAUAUGUGUGUUAAAAUUUAACAAUUAAUUCAUUGUGGAACGGAGGAAGUAAUAUAAAGGGACCUUUUUAUUAUCCAAAAAAUAAAGAAUCAAUCCCUUUUACCCCUAAUGCAUGAUUUAAACCACAGACUAUUAUCUUAUGGGGUUUUCACUCUUUUAAUCAAAAUAUAAAUUUUUUUUUUCAAAAAAUAAAAAUCUCAAUCUAUCAUCUCAAGUGUCAUCUUUUAAAAAGUGACGAGACCUGACUUGAUUGAUUUGUUCUGUGUAUUAAAAUAAUUAAGCUGACUGACAUUUGUAGAUCGUGUUAAAUAAUGUACAAAAUAAUGAAUGUCGAUAUAUAAUUACAAAAAAAUAUAAACAACAAAUAAAAAAUAUAAUUAUCUUGAAAAAAUAUAUUAUGCUAUAAAUAAUUAAAAUUAUACCAUGUAGUAAAAAAUUACAGUGCUGUGUUGUGUACGUAUGUAAAUAUGUAAAAAAAAUUAAAAUAAUAAUAAACUGAUAAGAAUUUUAAAAUUAAUGAAAUUAAAGAUAAUUAUCAAUAAAUUAUGUAAAACUAAAAUAUGACAAUUAAUGAGUAAAAAAAUUCUAAAAUAAUAAUGAUUAUCAAUAAUUUAUUAACAAUUGUAAAAAAUAUGUGAAAAAUUGUAUAUUGUGUCAUUUAACGACCAGAGAGUCUAAAUGCGUUAAUUUAAGUAUAGAGAGCCUAAAUUGAGUAUCAACAUUAUGUAUUGGUUAUAUAAUUACUCAUCAAACACGCUAUGUGGGUCUUUUUACUGCUACAUCUCUCCAAUCGAUGCAUUGAAUCAUUGUUUCCUGUUUUCAUUUAAUUAAAAGCUAUAAAAACGUCUGUUCUCAAGAAAAACCGUUGGUAUACGCUAGGUAAGCCUUUUCUAUUCCCACACAUCGACUGACCAUUGGGUGGGAAUAUAAAAGACCACCUUCUAUAGAUCUAUAAAUACAGUGCUUAUUUCUAUGUAAGCCUUUAGUUAUCCCUAAACCUUGGAUAAUCACAUGUUAUGGGGUUGGUAAAAGAAAAUAAUUAAAUUUAAAAAGAUUUUAACAGAUAAUAACAUGUUUUGGGGCUGGUGAAAGAAAAUAAUUAAAUUAAAAAAGAUUUAAAUAAAUAAUCUUGAACUGUUGGUGACACUUAAUAGACUGCCAUCAAUGUUGACCCAUGUCAAAUUCACGUAAAAAUAUACUUAUUCUUUGAGGGUCCAUCGAUUCUUUUGAUCUAUCGUAGACUUACAUCGUUAGGAGUGCAUCGAUUGAUCUCCUGAUUAUUUGUAGACCACGGAGAUCUAUGUACACUGCUAUAGAUCAUCACUUGGAUGUUGUUCAAAAAUGAAUAAAUAAAUAAAAAGUAAAUGUAUUAUGAGUUUCUACACAUAUGAAGAAGUGUAAACAAGUUACGUAAUCAUAUUAGAGCUUAUACAAAUUAGAGAUGGUGAAUUAAGGAGUGUGUGAAUGGAUAGUGGUUGAACAAAAAAUAUCCUAAGAGUAAUGUUUGUCAAAGUACAAGUAUGUUUUGAGGAUGAUGAUUAUUCAACCACUAUUCAUUCCACAUACUCUUUUAAUUUGGGAGUGGUGAUUGAAGGAGUAUGUGGAAUGGGUAGUCAUCAAAUAGAAUCAACAUCCUCAAAACAUACUUGUCCUUUGACAAACAUUACUCUUAGGAUAUUGUUUGUUCAACCACUACCCAUUAACACACUCCUUAAUUCACAACCUCUAAUUUGUAUAAGCUCUAAUAUGAUUAUGUGACUUGUUUACACUCCUUCAUAUGUGCAGAAACUCAUAGUAUAUUUAUUUUUAAUUUAUUUAUUCAUUUUUAAACAAUAUCCAAGUAAUGGUCUUUACUAGUAUACAUAGAUCUACGUGAUUUACGAAUAAUCCAUAGAUCAAUCGAUGCUCUACCUAAAGUGUAGGUCUACGGUAGACCAAUUAAAUCGAUGUACCCUCAAAGCACAAGUAUAUUUUUUAUUGUAUUAUUUUCUUAAAACAUGUUAUUGAGGGUUCAUCGAUUACGAGUGUCUACGGUAGACUUUAGUAUCUCGUUGAUGACUGACAUAGGUCAUGAUCUACGAUUGUAAAUUAAGUGUCACCAAUAGUUACAAAAAACACAAUUAUUAUUUCAACGGUAACAAAUGGCCAGUUUUGUACUCCUUCAGUGUUAACACAUCUUUUUACUUCAUAUAUAAUGUCCUUCAUUCCUCAUUAUUUUAUUGCAUUCACUUUAUUUUUAUUUUAAAAUUCUACAAUGUCUCAAGCAUCUCAAACAUCCGAUUCUAAAAAGACUUUAAUUAGUCAUUGUGGAAAUGCGGCUAUUUUGAGGACGUCACGCACAGACUCAAAUUCAGGUCGCAAAUUCUAUAAUUAUACAAUUGCGAAGGUGAGUCGUGUAUGCCUUUUUAUAUAGUUAAGUAAAUCGUUAUGUAAUUAUUAUUUUUUUCAAGGAUAAUGGCGCAUGCUCGUUUUUUAAAUGGCUUGAUGAGCUAUCACCUUCAAGCAAUCCAUCAACGUUGAGUUCGAGACUCGAGACGUCAAAUUUUUAUGGCUUGACAAAAUUUAAUGUAAUACCCUGCUGAUAAUGCUCAAAUUACACUCUUGAAUGGGUGUAAGCGAUCGUUGUCAAUAUAAAACCCAACUAGGUUGGGGUCGAAUCCCACAGGGAAUAAGGUGUGAACAUCAAUUUGUUUAUGAAAUACUUUACUGGUAGUUUAUCGUUUCCGAAAGUUGGGGAUUUAAAGUUCACAAUGUAUCAAUCUUCACUUUCUGAAUUUUUAGAGUUGUUAUGAAUAUAAAUGGGAAACCAGGGUUAUGAUCACCAAAGGUUUCGGGUAUUGACAGAUACUAGGUAAUGCUAAAGAACAUCGGAAUGAGUAGAACAACAGAAUAUCCCUGACUAUGAUACUAUCUGACUUAUCUCUCGACCUCACAAGACAAUUUAUUAUCUAAUUCUCUCGAACUUAGAUAAUUUAUCUAUAUCCAAUCGGAUGUUAUCUCAGGUAGAUUAAUCUAGUUACGGCAUUAAUCAUUAAAUAGAAGGUUGGUAGUUUCCGAGUCCCUAUUGAUAAUUCCCGUCCUCAAGUCUAUUUCUCCGUUAGAAGCAAAUAAAACAUAAGGCAUAAUCUAAUCUUUGCAACCACUAGAUUUCAGUUAAAACCACAGAAUUUUAAGAUGUUCUACUACUCUUUGAAUCCGUUAAACACUUAGCAUCAUAUCAAACCCUUAUCCUUGGAUCCCAUAACCCCGGCUAAUCAAAUUAGCCGCUCAUGAUUUAACGAAGGAAAUCACAAGUUGAAUUCAUGAUGAUAAUGAUAAACUUACGAAUAGAUGGAAAACAACGAAUAAUUUCUUAAAUUAAAUCCCAAGUUAGAAACCUAAGAAUAGUUGAUAAGAAAGAAACUAAAAAUAAUUGGAAAAAGAGAACAAUGUACGUGUUUCUUCCUUCAAAAUUCUUGUUUUGAAUAAUGAAAACUUCCCUCCCUUAAAAACCCUAAAAACUGCUAUUUAUACUAAAGCCUAAUUAAGGAAAUAAAAUAACAAAAUCACAGCUGGGAUCGGAUUUAGGUGAUGCCAUAUUGGUGUUGGUUGUCAGGCUUCUGAUGACGUCUCAUAUAUGUUGUCAGAAGUCAUGCCAUCUUGACCUAUUCUGCCUCACUCUGAUGAUGUCCUAUGAAGGCUUACCACACUUGUGACGGCGUGUAACAAAUGUCGUCAGACCUUCAGCUUAUUUCACCAUGUUCUGCCUCACUCUGACGGCAUAUUCUGAUGGCUUAUCACACUUGUGACGACAUAUUGAGAAUGUCGUCACUCUCAUCCAGCAACUCUACUCCACUGUUCUUCCUGACGGCUUUUUCUGGUAGCUUACCACAUCUCUGACAGCUUGCAAGAAAUGCCGUCAUACUCAUAUCAGCUCACUUGUACUAGAUUUUACUUAUUUUGUUCAUCUUUUCUAUAUUUUCCUCCCAUUCUUGCUACAACUACAAUAUCACAAGAAAACGAUAAAAAACAACCAAAAAUUGCUUAAGACUUCGUAAUUAUUUAGAGUUAAAAGCCUCAAAUGUGUUAGCAUUUGCUCACACAUCAACACCCUCAACUUAAAACAAUUGCUUGUCCUCAAGCAACGAAAACACAACUAAGAGAAUACAACGAACAUUCAACAGUCAACAACCAAUUCUUAGCUCAAAACUCAAUUUACCACUUCCAAGGUCAACCAACUCAAACUACUGUGCAAUUUAUUGAAAAGCAACAAUGUAACACAAAGGCUUCUACCCAUGGCAUCACUAAGUGCCAACAAUCAUGUAUGUAAUGUACACUACCCAAACAAGCAAGUAACUUAGCAAGAUACUAGUGUGCCCUCACAACAAAGAAACUCCCCUUUACUCUCAUUAUCAACAAUCAAGGUAUAAUCAUGGGGAUAAUCACAAAGACUCUCACACUCAGAAUGAAUUUCAACCAGUGUAUGCCAAAUACCAUAUGCUUGCCUUUAUCAUCAUUACCGAAGUGUCUAGACAGGUAAGCUAGGAUCACUAUAGAACUUUCUCAGGCUUGUAACGUAGGCUAGGGGCUGGUAUGGUAUUAAACGGCAUUUAGAGUGACUAACCCCCUUGGCUCUAACUUAUCUUGUGGGGUCAACUUAUUAACCUCGUUCUCUUUUUUUUUUAUUUUCUUGAUCACACUUUCAGGAUGGGUGCACUUCUUUUUAUUCCAACAAAUUUUCUUUUCUUGUUUUUUUCCACCAAAAUCCAACCUUUUAUUCUUUUUUUUGAUUCUUUCUCUUCUAUUCUAUCCUUCUCCAUACCUAACUUAUAUCACGCACCCCUAUGAUAACCACCCUCAACUUAGGCUAUUUGCCUAUAUUGAGAUGCACAAUGUCCAAGGAGGAUCAGGGCCAAAACAGGUUCAUUAUGAUUUAAAAAGGGAAGGUGAUGGGUUUCAUAGAAUGAAAAUGGUCAAUUUAGGCUCAAACGGGGAUCAAGGGAUAUAAUGUAGUACAUGGAAGGUCAUUUAGGCUAAAAGUGGCUUAAAUUCAAAAACGGCCUAUGAUCCUUUCCUAACCCCUAUCUCUCAACCAAGACAAAAUGAACUAGGCAAGUUUUAGAUUCAGCAAUACCACAGGGAACACAGUAAGAUCUCACACACACUUGGCACACAAGCAUUUCACUAACUACUACUUAUCUGGUUCAUGCAGUUAUUCAGCUGUGAUUGUUAAGCACAAAACUAAUGCCCUAACCAGAUGCUCAAUAGUCAUAAUUUGAGGCAAUUCACACAGUCAUGCAAAACAAACCUUUAGAGAGGUGUUCAAAAUAAAUAAAAAAAAUUAGUUGAGUACCUACAGAACUUGAACUACUCCUAGUUAUUUGUAGAAUAUGCUACAACAACAUGCUACCCUACACCCUCAACUUAAAAUCAAAACAAAAUGAAACUAAGGGUUUAGGGUGUACCUGGUAGAGAUCAAGUACGGGGAUCAUGGGGUUUUACCCCCACAUCAGUAUCUCCAGUUGGGACACUUAUAUCUGGAGCCUGCUGCUGCGCUGGCUUAGCUACUACUGCAUCUGAAGGAGGUGCACUGGAUGAGGAUCCUAUGGAUCUAGCUCGGAGUGCCCCCUCCCUUCUCAAGUGGUCCUCUAGGGACGCUUGUAUUGCCCGUUUUGCGUUCGCUUUGUCAAUGGCUGCUACCUCAUCACUUGCUUGCGUCGUCUCUUCUGCUCCUAUUUUCUGAGCCUUCUUCUUCUUCUUUGCCUUUUUCUCAGCUUUGCCCUCAUUCUCAUCAUCUCCUUCUCUCUUUCUCUUUCCUUUUCUCUUUUCAUCUUUCUUUUCUUUGUUUUUCUUCUUCUGGACAGGCUCCUCAGUAAGAUCAAGCAACUCUAAUUCACCUUUGGGCUCCUCAACCACAUCUUCUAUUACUGUAAUGCACUGAAGCUGUCUAAUCACUCCAAACUCUGUCUUCAUCUGCUUAAACUCAGAUCUAAACUGUUUAAGCUAUGUAAUCGACAUUUAUCUUUCUCGCAUAUCAAACCGAUUCUCCAAGUCAGAAAACCUAGCAGGCAAGGACUCAUAAGGCUCAAGUGCAGCCUUGAUUCUCUUAUCUACUGCAGUUGCAAACUGCUUGGCAAACUGUUUCAGCUGAGCCUCGCACCAUUGAGUUUGUCUAGAAAUUUUUCUGAAGGUUGACAAGUUGAAAGCAAGUCCUGCUGGUGCUGCAGAAGCUGAUGGAGCUGACUCAGUUGCAGGCACUGAACCUGCCUGUGCUGAAGGUGGUGGUGGUACUGCUGCUGCCUCAAGAUCUUGUGCCUCCAUAGUAGGCACUGAACUAGAAUCUGGAAUAGGAGGCUCAACUGCUACCUCUGAUCCCCUCUCAAGCCUCAAUGCAGGUAGAUUUUCCUCACUUUUGAUCGGGUUGUGAGUCUUUCUAGCAGCAAUAUACUCAUCUACACCUGCGAUCUUGGGCACAUUUGCUGCUCUACAUAGCUUAGUGAUCAGACACGUGAAUGGAUAUACAGUGUUAGGCCUAGACACCCGAAUCUUUAUUUCCUUAGCAAUAAUUUCACCAAAAUCCAGGGAUAUCCCAGUCACUAGACUAGCAACUAGUACGACCCUAUUAUCUCCUAGUAUAUAUUAUCAUUUUCUGUAGGGAUCAAGUGCGUGCGCACUACGCCCCACUAGAACUUUGCCUCAGGUGUCAGAGAAGCUUUGUAGAUUUUUUUAUUCGGGUUGGUCAACCAAAUAGGCUCUCCCUCCGCUAUGUGAGUAGCCAACCAUCUAUGCUGAUUCGCCUUAUCUUUCAAACGGGCAUAGAAUGUGGGUGAAGUAUCCUGAACAUUAAAGUUCGACCCAUGAAGAAACUGGUUGAUUGUUGAGUCUGAGAUACUCACUAUCACUCCCGUCACUGUAAUUUUCUCUAUUAAUGUUAUGUUUGAUAUUCUCUCACCUUUCUUGCAUCUGUUUUCCAGGUCCGCUUGGUAGUUUGCAUAAAACUCCCAUACUACUGUUGGACUGUAUAAAUCUCCUGUUCUGGUAGUCCACUCUAGGCCAUAAUCUUGGAACUUUUUUAUCACCUCCGGGUAGUUGAUCAACCCUUUGGUAAUGAUUUGUUUUUCUUCAAAGAUAGGUCUCCAAACAGGUCUCCGCUGAGUUCUACGCAGACCAUCAAGAUAUAGCCUCUCAGCUCCUAGAAUGAGCCAUCUGACAUUAUCUUUAACCUCCAGGUUUUUGCAUCUCACUACAGCUCUCUAAAUUGGAGAAUCAUUAUCACUUUGCUUUUCUGAGGAUGGUGGUACUGAUUCUAUCUCGUCAGACCCCAGCUCUUCAGAUCCAGCCUUCUUAGACUCAGGCUGUUCGGACUCGGUUUGCUUGGAACUCUCUUGCUCAGAGGACUCAUUCUCAGGUGGGGUAGUAGUUUCAGUAUCAUCACUAUCCUCCACCUAAACAGGUUUAGGUGGAAAAAAUGCCUUUGGGCUUGGUUUCUUUCUCUUCCACCUGAGAAGUGGUUCUUCAUCUUCAUAGUCGGAGUCCUCAUUAAUAAGCUUCCGAACUACUUUUGGCUUCGCCACUUUCUUUGGAGUGUUAGGACUCUUUCUCUUGGGUGUUAUUUUUAUCCCAGCAGCAAGUUAGAUUCAAUUUUCAGUGUUCUAAAUCAUAUAAAUAAACAAGAUGCAUCAGUGGUUUCUUAGAAUCCCUGAAAAGGGUUCAAUUCAGUUUUAGUUCAGAGGCUUGUCAGCAUCUCUGGUAAGUCUUCGUAUUUCUAAAAUCUUACCAUAGACGUCGUCAGCCUCAAGCAGUGACUACUGAAAUUUCUCAACUUUUGAUGACAUUGUCUGGUAAGACGACACACCUAUGACGACGUAUCAGAUAUGUUGUCAGACCUUAACAGAACCUCAUCUUUUUUCCUUUAACGUAUGAUGACAUUUGUGGUAAGCCAUCACAGAUGUGGCGUCUACCAUAAAUGUCGUCAGCUCAUAACACAAUCCUUCAACUCUCUUUUUCAUUAUUUUUUUGACUUCAAUUUCGACUUGAUUUUAACUUAAUUGAGUUCUUGAGCUGCUCUUUAGAUCUUCUUCAGUUAGAACCCAGCAAAACCCUAGAUUCAAAGUAGCUUGUAGUUCUUUAAUCCGCUUAAGCUUCUUUGAACCAAGGUUGAACUUCUCCUGUUAUACAUACCCAAAAGAAAGAAAAGUUUAAAGCAUCGAGCAUACCUGAUUGUCGACUUGCACACUUCCUUAACAAUGGAGCUUAGUUCGUAUGCAGUGUGAGCUUGAGGUAAGAGAAUGUGGAUGAGAUAAGAAAGUUGGUCACUUUGCUUUCAAUCCAAUCUCUCAAGGGAAAGUUUUUUUUUCUUAGUUGUGAUCAAGUUGGAGAAGGAAGGAAGAUAUUAUGUAUUCUAGCUAAGGAAGGAAAUAACUAAACAUGGAAACCAAAUAAACUACCGGGAAGGUGAAAAUUUUAAGCCUGGGCCGAGUCGGAUCCAACUUAACAUCUGGGCCCGUAAUACCUGACAACAUAGAAAAAUGCCGUCAGAGUUAUGGUAACCCAUGAGGCAAUCUCGUCAGGGUUAGGUAGACACUUCUUCAUACUAGACCUCUCUGACGUCAUUUUUUGGUAAGCCAUCACAUAUGUGACAUCUUACCAUAAAGGUCGUUAGGGUCCUUUUUAGCAGAUAAUCUUGAUUUCACCUUCCAGGUAUUAAAAGCCUAACUAUAAGAAUAAAAACUAACCUAAAAAUGAAUGAAAAUAAAAUUUUGGGUUGCUUCCCACUAGCGCCUGAUUUAAUGUCGUGGCACAACUCAGUUAUCUUGGCUACUCAGACUUCGCCAAGACAUCAUACCAAUACCUUUUGUCAUCUACAUAGAAUACAUCCAUGACUGCGAAUAUACUCAUCUCUUUUUGAUUCACUGUGGAUGAGUGCAUUUUAAACUUUGCUUUAUUUUUGCCAACUCAAAACUUGAGCUCAUUGAGCUCCAAAUCAACUAGCACUCUCCCUGUGGCCAAUAAUGGUCUUCCCAGAAUAAUAGGUACCUCAAAAUCAACAUCACAAUCUAGAACCACAAAAUCUGCAAAGAGAAUGAAGUCGGCCACUUUCAUCAUCACGUCAUGUAGAAUACCCAUAGGUCUUUUGAUUGACCUAUCUGCUAUCACGAGUCAUAUAUUUAUAGGAGUAGGUGCCCCUACAUCAAGCCUUUUAUAGAUGGCCAGCGACAUCAAAUUAAUACUUGCGCCAAGGUCACACAAAGCUUUCUCAAAUUUCACGGGUCCUACUGUGCACAAAAUAGUGAAAGCACCAGGAUCAGGUUUUUUCUAUACUAAGGACUGUGAUGAAACAACACUACAGUGGUGGAGAUUGUCACCGUCUCACAGCUUACUUUCUUCUACUUCAUUGGCAGAUCCUACAUAAAUUUAGCAUAGCUCGGUAUUUGCUCAAGUGCCUCCAUCAAUGGCACCAUCAUUGUCAGUUGUUUCAUUAUUGGCAUGAACUUGAUAAAUUUUUCAUUAUCUUCUUUCUUCUUUAACCUCUGCAGAAAUGGAGGUUGUGGUCUUGGCAUUUGUUUCCAUACCACUUUCUCUUUCUUGUCGUCUUCUUUCUCUGACAUGUCAAUAAAGCCAUCCACCUUCUCAGACUCCAUUAGAUUUCUUUCUUCUGAUUCAUUAAUACUUACCUCCUACUCCAUGGCUUUGCCUAUAGAAGGGCCAGAUAAUAUCUUACCACUCUGAGUGGUAAUCGCCAAACAAGAGCCAUCAGUCCGUGGGUUUUGAACCGUAUCACUAGGUAAAGUGCCCACUUUUCUCUGGUUCAGAGUAACCGAAAGUUGGCUCAUCUAUUGUUCCAACCGCUUAAUAGAAGCAGAGUGUGAGCUAACUAACUUACUGAGGGUAGAAAACUCACUUUUCAUAUUAGUUACCCCUAAGUUAGUAGCUUCAACUCCCUUCAACAACUUUUUCAUCAUGUCCUCCAUGGACAUCUUACUAGAACUAGUAGAUGCAGCAUCCCGACUUCCAGGAGGAAUAUAUGAACCAAUCCUAUUAUUAUUGUUUCUCUAAUGUCCCUGAUCCCUAUCUUUAUAAUCAAGCUUGUCAUAGAAAGUCCAACUUUGGUUCCCUUGGCUAUUGCCUCAGAAACCCCCCUGAUUACUCAUAUAGUUGGCCUCAGCAUCAGCACCUGCAGAUACGGUACCUUGAGCAUCAACAACCUUAAUCAUUUUAGUCUUUCCGGAUAGAAAAUGCUUAGCCAGUAAGUCUAUCUGCGUCUUUAAGUGGGCCAUAUCCUGAUCUCGCUCCUCAUCCCUUUUCGCUGUUCUGCAGUAAUACCACCAGCAAUCGUAGGGCUAGCCACUACAGAAUCCCUAGUGUACCAAGCUCAACUUUUCUUGGUCAUUCUAUUUAGCAUGUCAGAAACAUCCAAAAAAGAGAGGUCAAUGAAUGAACCACCUGCAGCAUUGUCGACUAUUGGAUUUGUCACAGAGUUGAAAGCUCUGUACAAGGUCUCCAUCAAAUGCAAGUCUGUCAUAUUAUGGUUCGGACAUUGUGCAAGUUUCUUCUUAAAUCUUUCCCAAGUCUCGCACAGUGCUUCAGUUGGAAGCUAUAUGAAGUUGCUGAUCUCGUCCCUCAACUGUACCCUUCUGGAGAGUGGAAAGAUCCAUUCUAGGAAUGCAUCUUUCAACUGUCUACAGUUGGUUACAGAAUCAGGCUCUAACUUAUUCAACCACAUUGUUGCCUUUCCAGACAGAGACAAUGGAAACAACCUCAAUCUGAUUGCAUUCUGACUUACUCCCGGAUUGUCAAAGGAUUUGUAGAUGGUGAUAAAGUUCACCAAAUACAUGUUAGGAUCAUCACCAAGAAAGCCUCCAAAUAACCCCUUCAAAUUCAGGAGUUGGAUCAUGGUACUUGUUAUGCUGAACUUUGCACCUUGUGCCAACGAUGGCGGGAUGAUAGCACCCAUUGCACCAGCUCCGUCCAUUCAUUCAUCAUCAUUAUUAGCCUCAUAGUGCAUAGGCUGUUGACUAUAUCUACCUCGAGUUGGAUGAUUUCUAUUGACGUUUCGCCGCACUAGUGCAACAACUUGCUCCGCUCUCCUUGGGUUUUGAGGAUUCAGUAAUUCCUCAUCACCCAAGUCCUCAUCAUCAGGGUUUUGGUGAUGUGCUUGUUGACUAAAUUUUUCACAUUCACCUGAGCCCUGGCUAAAGCAGCUAAUCUUUCUGCUUCUUGUUGUUCAACUAUUUUUCCAAUUAGUUGAGGUUCCGGGUUGAUUGGUAAUAGUGGUGCACUGAAAAUUCUCAUUUUUGGCAUAAACAACACAGUACAUACAAUAAACAAAAAUAACAAAUAAACGUAAAUCAAGGAAACUUAACUAUCAGCAAAUUUUUUCGCACACAAUUUUCAGUCUACAACCGUAUUCCCCGACAAUGGCACCAUUUUUGAUACUGCUCAAAUUACACUCUUGAAUGGGUGUAAGCAAUCGUUGUCAAUAUAAAACCCAACUAGGUUGGGGUCGAAUCCCACAGGGAAUAGGGUAUGAACGUCAAUUUGUUUAUGAAAUACUUUACUGGUAGUUUAUCGUUUUUGAAAGUUGGGGGUUUAAAGUUCACAAUGUAUCAAUCUUCACUUUCUGAAUUUUUAGAGUUGUUAUCAAUAUAAAUGGGAAACCAGGGUUAUGAUCACCAAAGGUUUCGGGUAUUGACAGAUACCAGGUAAUGCUAGAGAUCCUCAGAAUAAGUAGAACAACAGAAUAUCCCUGACUAUGAUACUAUCUGACUUAUCUCUCGACCUCACCAGACAAUUUAUUAUCUAAUUCUCUCAAACUUAGAUAAUUUAUCUAUAUCCAAUCGGAUGUUAUCUCAGGUAGAUUAAUCCAGUUACGACAUCUCAUUAAAUAGAAGGUUGGUAGCUUCCGAGUCCCUGUUGAUAAUUCCCGUCCUCUAGUCUAUUUCUCCAUUAGAAGCAAAUAAAACCUAAGGCAUAAUCUAAUUUUUGCAACCACUAGAUUUCAGUUAAAACCACAGAAUUUAAGAUGUUCUACUACUUUUUGAAUUCGUUAAACACUUAGCAUCAUAUCAAACCCUUAUCCUUGGAUCCCAUAACCCCGACUAAUGAAAUUAGCCGCUCAUGAUUUAACGAAGGAAAUCACAAGUUGAAUUCAUGAUGAUAAUGAUAAACUUACGUAUAGAUGGAAAACAACGAAUAAUUUCUUCAAUUAAAUCCCAAGUUAUAAACCCAAGAAUAGUUGAUAAGAAAAAAACUAAAAAUAAUUGGCCAAAGAGAACAAUGUACGUGUUUCUCCCUUCAAAAUUCUUGUUUUGAAUAAUGAAAACUUCCCUUCUUUAAACACCGUAAAAACUACUAUUUAUACUAAAGCCUAAGUAAGGAAAUAAAAUAACAAAAUCACAGCUGGGCUCGGAUUUAGGUGACGCUAUAUUGGUGUUGGUCGUUAGGCUUCUGACGGCGUCUCAGAUAUGUCGUCAGAAGUCAUGCCAUCUUGACCUGUUCUGCCUCACUCUGACGAUGUCCUAUGACGGCUUACCAUACUUGUGACGGCAUGUAUCAAAUGUCGUCAGACCUUCAGCUUAUUUCACCAUGUUCUGCCUUACUCUGACGGUAUAUUUUGACAACUUACCACACUUGUGAUGACAUAUUGAGAAUUUAGUCACUCUUGUUCAGCAACUCUUCUCCACUGUUCUUCCUGAUGCCUUUUUUGGUAGCUUACCAUAUCUCUGACGGCUUGCAAGAAAUGCCGUCAGACUCAUAUUAGCUCACUUGUACUAGAUUUUCUUAUUUUGUUCAUCUUUUUUUUUUUUCCUCCCAUCCUUGCUACAACUACAAUAUCAUAAGAAAACGAUCAAAAACAACCAAAAGUUGCUUAAAACUUCGCAAUUAAUUAGAGUUAAAAGCUUCAAAUGUGUUAGCAUCUGCACACACAUCACCUAUACUUUCCUAAUUCAGAUCAGCCCCUAGAAUGUGCCCAUAGCACUUAGAACCUAAAAAUAAAGUUAAGUGUUGAAGGAUUUAGUCACUUUCGACUCCUUUAAACUUUGAGAAUUUUUAAGUUGACCUUCCAGGCCCUGAGACAACGAUUUUUGAGUUGAAGUAUAUUCAGGGGUGUAAAUAGCAUGUCUAGGGCAAGUUUUGGAAUUUUUGGACUUGGAUUGGAAUUUCUGCAGCUCACUGCGAUCCAUCGUGUCAUAGUGAGUAUGGUGUCAAGAGGUCCACCGCAUCGUGGUGGAGUGUAAAAAAUCAUUUGUCAAUUUCCAGUGAGUCACCGCGAUUCCACUGCACCGCGGUGGUUAUCAUGAUGACUCGUUUGGCGCGUCACGGUGAGGUCGUGAUCGACAUUCCAAUUGUGGGAUUUAAAUCUCCAAGCGUAGUUUAGUCUUUUCCUAAUUCCCCAAGUCAUGAAAAAUAGAAGAUUAAACCUAUUUUAAGCAUAUUAUACUUAUUUUUUACCAAAUUGGUCUCAAAGAAAACCCUAGAGCUUCAACUUUAAACUUCAAGAAAUCCAAAAUUCACCGUUUCUUUUCCAAGAUAACCAAAUUUAAGAUCUUCAAGAAACUAUCUUCAAGAACACAAAUAGGAAUUCAAAGUCAAGUGUCUUCAUCAAUUUAGUCAAUUAAGGUAUGUGGGGUUAUGAACAAGGAUACUCCUUUCAUCCUUGUGCCCAAAACUAGUUUUUAAAGUUGAAUUUACAUGAUUUACAAUUUAGGGUUCAUACCCAAUUAUCAUUAUUUGAAGAUUAUGAUGUUAUAAGUGAUUUAAAUAUUGAAUUGCAUCUCUAUUUUGUAUGUUAUGCGUGUGACAUGAUUGUAUAUAUAAACAUUGAGAAUUGAAUUUUCAGUAUUUUGACUAGAAUUAUUACAGAAUUUCAAGAUUUUGAUUAUUGAGCAUGACUUGGUGAUAAUUUCACAUGAGUUUAAAGCAAGGGUAAUUAAUUCCUAGUUUGAGUAUUGAUAUUUCAAGAAGAUAAUGCUUUUAAGCACCUGUGAUUAGUUCAUAGUCAAAUUUUGAGAAAAGAUUUGAUCUUUUGAUCCUCAGCUUAGAUAUGGAAUCCACAUUAUAAUUUUAUUACAGUUUACAGUAAAUAGAUGCAGAACUAGUUUUUAUUAUAAAUCCAUAUGCUAGUUUUAAAGGGAAUUUCCUACAGAUUGAGCAUAUAGAUUAAAGGGAGUAGUAUUUAGCACAGAGCGAGAAGUGUGGGUUUAGUGCAUCCUACUUUCCGAGAAUUACGAGCCAACGUAGGCACAGAUUCAGAUUAUAUUCCAUUUGUAUAUGGAUACAGAUACAGAUUGUGAUCACCUAGCUUAGGUUAUACUCCUUGACAAGAUUAUGAAACCUCUCCCCAAUGUGAGGUUUUUCCCUUAGGUGAACUAGAUGUUGGACUCUAUGAUAGCUCACAUGGUUUAUGUCAGUUAGAAGAACCUCCAUAACAUCAAAAUCUUAUAGAAAAACUUUAGAAUUUAAGUGUGAAGGCUCACAGUUUCAUUUAGAUAUUAUUUUACAUCAGAUAUUAGUCAUGAGAUUUCAACUUUCAAUUUACAGAUAUAAAAGUGAGUCCUUUCUACACUUAGAUGCAUGAUUUAAAGAUAGAAUACAAGUACAACUUUUAAAACUAAAUGUAAUGGCUCACAAGACUUACACAGUAUGCUUUAUCAUUUAUGAUUUAUGAUUUUAGCUUUUAGUUAUUCAGGCCAGUGUGAGUCAUUACACUUAGUAUGGAUUCUUUCAUAAUUUUUUAUGAACAUUGAGAUAUUGUCUUACUAAUGUAUUCACCCCCACUUGCUUAGUACACUCCAAAAGUACAGAUCCAUAUAUAUUUUUAUAUGCUACAUUAUUUAAUAAUGUAGGCUCAGGUGCUCAGUUCCAGCAGCAUGAUCGACCAUGAGCAUCUCUAUCUAUAUCCCGACAGUUGGUGAGUCCUCAUAGCUUGGGGACCCAGUUAUUCAAACUUUCAGUUUGUUAAAGUAGCCUGUUAAGUUAUUUUCAGUUAGAUUGAGUUAGCUAAGGGUCUGUCCCAGGGACUCUCUAGUUGUUAGUAGUAGAGGCUUGUCAGAGUACUACUUAUAACUCAGAUUUCUAGUGUUGACUGUCCAGACUUUUAAGUCAAGUAUUCUCAGAUAUUAUGCUCAGUUAAUUCCUGUCUUGAUAAGACAUAAUUCAGCAUUCCAGCAUUGAUUAUAUGUUUAUAUUUCUCUAUUAUGAGUUUCAGAUUUAGUAGAAGGCUUGCAGGGUUAACUUGAAACUACUCGUAGUCUUGAGCACCGUGUGAUGUCUCGGGACCCACUUUCGGGGCGUUACAUUUAAUCUACUACAAAGGAUCCAAGAAUGCAAAAAAAAUUAGAAAUUUUCUCAUGACUUUGUUCAAAGAAGCCGAAGAGCAGAGGGAUAAUUCUAAAGUAUUUCUACAUUACACCCAAAAAGAGAGGGAUAAACUAAAACAUAAAUUGGUUUUGGUCGAAGAAAGGGAGAAUAACCUAAAAUGAUGUUAUGUGCUAUAAUGCUAGUAUUCCUUUUUUAGGAAAAGUGUAACAUGGAUGUAGUGAUAUUGAAUAAAUAAAAAUACUUUUAUUUCCCUAUAAUGUUAAUACAGUUUUUCAUAGAAUCAUAGUUGAUCAAACAACACAUCAACUUAAAAUCGAGUAGCAUGGUAAUAUAGACUAUGCAAACAGUAUAUGAAAAAUUAAAUAUGUAUUCUGUGAUGUCAACUAUACACUAUACCAAUUAUGACAACACAAUGCAUUUCAAAUUCCAUGCAACAAUACAGUUUGAUAAAAGCAGAUUCAGCACAGAAUCAUAACAACUUUCAUAAAAUAAAAGAAUGUUUGUCAUAUCCUACCAACAGAUCAUUCAACUCUUAUAUUUGUGAAAUAAAAAAUAAAAUGGUCAUAUCCUAACAAUUGAUCAUUGAACACAUUAUCAAUAGUAGCAUUUAAAUGUCAUUUUCCCUAUUUUCCUCAUCAACACAAAUGUCAUUGUUGAUUUCAAUAACGAUAUCCAUGACCUUAUUUUUUUUUCACUUCUUUUUUUUCUUAUUUCCGUUUAUCUUUUCUAACUUCUUCUUCUUCUUUAUCUGCUGCUUCUUCCCUUCCAUCUUCAACUUCAUCUCAUUUUUUUUAGUGUCUGCAGUUGCUGCUUCUUUCUCACCUUGUUCUGCUUUUUUUUUUCAACAUCUGCAACAACUGCUGCUUCUUUUCAGCUUCCUUUUCUUCUUCUUCAUCUUCUUAUUUUUCUUCACCUGCUGCUUCUUUCUUAGCUUCUUCUUCUUCUUCUUCUUCUUGUUCUUCAUCAGUUGUUGCUACUUUUUUUUCAGCUUCUUUUUUCUUCUUCUUCAUCUGCUACUACUUCUUGUUCUUGUUCUUCUACAACUGCUUCUUUUCUAGUUUCUUCUUGGCUCUUAUCUUCUUCUAUUUCUUCUUCUUCUUCUUGUUCAUCCUUCUUUUCUUUUUUUUCCUCUUCUGCCACAACAGUGGCCAACUCAUCUAUUUUGCUCUUUUUUUCUCCUUCUUCAUUCCUCUUUGAUUCACGAAGGUCCACAUACACUGUAUCAUAAUAUUAAAAAGUGUUACUAAUAGAUAAAGCUGAGAAUACAUUAACUAUAUCAAUUAUUAAAUGAAGUUACCUCGCUCAUGUUGUUGCUCAUCCUUUUUCUUUUUCUUUAGUCUUUUCUCUUUGAUAUAGGCAACAAUAUCCAACAUCGAUUCCUCGAGCAUAGUAAUACUCUUAUGAAGAUCCCCAUCGAUAGAGGUGCUCGCUACACCUUUUGAGGUGCUCGGAGAAGCAUUAUCACCAAUACGUACUCCAAUGGGGUUACCACCCAAAUCCCCAUUAUCAUCACUGUCCUUAUUUAAAGUAAGAACAGUCACCUUUUGUAAAUAUUUCUUCAAGACAUCGAGGACGUUAUUCUUCACCUUGUCUGUAUAUGGCUUAAACGUAACCAUGUAAUCUAUCUCCGUCUCACGAAUAGUAGGGAUGAUGUACAGGUGCACGUUCUAUAAAAAAUCAAUUAAUAAUUACAUAACAUUCGAUACAACAGUAGUAUUAUUGCAUAAUAAAAAAUAAGUUCAUACCUCGGUAACUUUUCCUUUAUACUUGAAUGAGUCUCCUUCGAUUAUCUUGUCACUUUUUGUAGUGUGCCAUCUGAGGAUGCGGGGAAUGGGAAAGGGUUCAUCCAUUAAUUUUUUAGCAAAUUUUUCAAGAUAAGGAAAGGCCUCAUAGAUCCAAAUCUGUAAGCAGUACAAUAGUGAAAAAAUGACUAAGAGUCUAUGACAGAGUAUAAAUAAAACAAGAAUCUAUGAUCAUCUCACUAAAAGGUUGAUGGUAGAUACUAUGAAUGUCCAGGGAAAUUCGAAUAGAGAAUAGGAUGCCUUUUACUUCUCAUCAAAUACUUCUCUCGGCUUCUUCAGGUCACUUUUCUUCUUUAGAUAGUCCAUGGUCAGUUGAAAUGUCUCUUUCCCCCAUGGAUAACUUUCAAAGAAACUCAAAGAAUCGACCAUUCAAAUUAGUUUUGUGUCGACAACCUUCGUCAAAUCUUUUGCAAGCAACAUUGCAAGAACCACUGUAAACAACAUUUAAACUUUUGCUCCUCGUUCAGCUUAUUUUCUCAGAUCAAGUUAAUAAGUUGGCCACCAUAAUAUUUUUUUUCGUCACCUUAAAACAAAAAUGCUCCUCCUUGUCUAAUACCUUCCUUAUUUUUGAUUUACUGGGGUAUGAUGAGCAGUUCAGCCCCGCGAUCAAGCAAAACUCUUUCAAGCCAAAACAAAUAGGCUUGUUGUUCACACUGAACCACAUCUCAUGACGAAUCUUAUCAUUCUUGAUGCAUCACAAUAGAAAAUAAUGGACCAACUGCCCAUUGAAUUUGAGAUGUUCCGACAGGUUUCUCAAGUGUCCAAAACUGGACCGCUUGAAUCUUUUCUUCAAGUCCCGGUCGACAAAAACUUUCUUAAAUUCUCAAUAAGCAUCCAUUCUUAAUCUGACCAAUAUCUUUACCGAAAAAGAUCCAACCUCGUCUAUUAUCAUUCGAAGGUCAUACCACUCUAUGAAAAUGAACCUUGAACAAGAUGGAACAGAGAAGGGAUCAUUAUCCCCAUUAGCACUGUUUCUUUCACUCCCUCGCUCUCUUUACUGUCACCACUAGCACUACACUAGGUAACAUCUUCACUGGAAUCGACGUAUCUACUUAUCUCUUUUAACUUUGAAUCUGAUUCGGGCACUGCCUCUUCAAUUUUCUUUUUUUUUGAGACAUUUUCAGCUGCCUCGGUUUUUCUUUAUCUACUGCUACCAGAAAAAUCAGAUGCAGUACCAGCUUUGUAUUUAGCAAUGGGUCUUUUUUAAUCAUUUUCAACAAAAUCUACACCUACAGAAUAAAUUUGCCAUUUUCAGUUCAUAGACCACAAGUCUGUUCACAGAAACUACUCAAUGCUUAAAUAAAAAAUCUAAAAAAACUAAAACAUACCCCACCAUUAAAAAGUUCACCAAAUAAAAAUACCAUAAUUGAACCAAAUUCCAACAUGCAGUAUCAAAACUCAACUAUUGCUGUAAAUCAAACUAAUUAGCUAUUAAUCAUUCAAUUUUCACUAUUUCAGCAAUCAUAUUUUAAAAGAAUUUUAUAAGUCUAAAAAUUGAUUUCAAUCUAGCGCAUUCUCAUUUCAUAGACCACAAGUCUACGGACAAAAAUAGGUUACUGUUUGAAUCAAAUCACCAAAAUAACUUAUAAAAUAACAAUUAUCCCACCAUUCAAUACUUCAUUGCCAAAAAGGCAAGAACUAAACCAAAACUCCUUAAAUAGAAUUUCAAAAUUCAACACCGUGAUCGACGAAAAAAUCUGUAAAAGCUAUCGAAUCAAACCCCAAUAAUUGCUUUGGGAUCAAACUAAUUACCUAUAAAAUUCUCAUAGUUUAACUACUUAAUCAACCAAAUUCGAAAAAAAAUUCCUACAUCAUUACGAAUUAAUUAGCAGUGAAACCUGUUUAAAUGGAUUUAAAAUAAUUGAAACUUGAUUUUAACUAACCUUACAAAGCAACAACGAGAUCUUAGCAUCUGGAGAAGAAGGAAAAUAAAAAUGUUAUUUUGGGAGGAGCUUGUUGGGAAUAGCAGGAGUUAAGAGAAUUGAAGAGAGGAGAGAAAGUUUUUUUUGAUAUUAGAAGAAGUUGAGUGUGUUAGGUGUAUUAUAUUAAAUUUUCAAAAUUUUAAAAAUGAUGAAAUGGUCCCUUGGCCAUGGGUGGGCCCCACUUUUUUAACCCUAACCCUAAAAAUUAAAUGAAAAAGAGUUCGAACAGAGAGGAAUAAUUUUUAUUAUAUCAACAAGAGUACAAUAGAGAGAUUACGAAAUUAGAGUAGUCACUCUAAUUAUCCCAAAUAUGCCAAGAGAAUAACCUCACAAGAUCACUCCAAAAUAAAGGGCUCAUAAAAGUGUUUCCCGACACCCACUCUCUAACUAAAUACUCUAAUAGAAAGGAAGAAAUACAAGAGAAUGAAAGAAAGCUCUUGAAAUUGAUGUGUUACAAAUGAGAAAGAAGGUCCCUAUUUAUAAAGAUGAAAAUGGGCUUGUUGAUGUCAUCCAUGAUGAAAAUAGAAGAUGUAAAUUUGAAUAUUUGCAUGUGAAUGAGAGAAAUUUACAAUAAAAUCUUUGGUAGCAAGUUUGUCUGACAAAACCAAAAAAUAAUCUUCCAAAAGUCUUUGGUAAGCUUUUACCAAGUGUGAACCAAAGAAAAACCAAAGGCCACAUUACAAAUCUUUACCUUGGCUUGAGUUUUGUUAAUAUCGUAAAUUUUCUUCCUCUCCAAAAAAUCCCAUAUGGGCAAAAUCAUUCUUCAGAAACGGCAAUCAAGUUCAAGCAAAGCUUGAACUUACUAACCGGAAGAGACUUUGUGAACAUGUCAGCAGGAUUAUCUCUAGUGUUGAUCUUCUGAAUAGAGACCUUUCUUUCAAUAAUAGAUUCCCGAAUAAAAUAAUACUUGAUGUUGAUAUGCUUCGUCCUCUCAUGAUACAUUUUAUCUUUAGUUAAGUGGAUGGCACUUUGGCUAUCACAUAAAAUAAUAAUACCACUUUGGUGUGGACUGAGUUCAGCAAAUAGACCCUUCAACCAUAAGGCUUCUUUGAUUGCCUCGGUCACUGCCAUAUAUUCUGCUUCAGUAGUAGAUAAAACUACUACGUGUUGUAAUGUAGCUUUCCAACUGAUAGCACAACCACCAAUGCAAAAUAUGUAGCCAGUCAGUGAUUUUUUUUUAUCAAAAUCACCUGCAUAAUCUGAGUCUAUAAAACCAACCAAAGUGUUAGUAUUUCUUACAAAUUCUAAACAUACGUUAGAAGUACCACACAAGUAUCUAAGAAUCCAUUUCACCGCCUGCCAAUGUACUUUUCCAGGAUAAUCCAUAUACCGACUUACCACACUUACUGCUUAUGAAAUAUCUGGACGUGUACAUACUAUUGCAUACAUAAUACUACCAACUAUACUAGAAUACGGUACCUAUGCCAUAUACCUCUCUUCUUCCUCUGACUGCGGUGAUUGAGCAGCUGAUAACUUAAAAUGAGCAAUAAGAGGAGUACUUAUUAGUUUAACUUCUUUUAUGCCAAACCUCUCCAAGACCUUCUCAAAGUACUUCUUCUAGGUCACGAAUAGUCUGUUGGAUUUUCUAUCUCUUUUGAUCUCCAUGCCAAGGAUUUUCUAAGCUGCUUCUAAAUCUUUCAUUUCAAAUUCACUUUUCAGUUGACUUUUCAAAUUGUGAAUUUCUGUCAAAUCCUUAGUAGAAAUGAGCAUGUUAUCAACAUAUAAUAGUAAGUAAAUGAAUGAACCAUCAUUUAACUUUCGAAAGUAAACACAACUAUCAUACAUUCUCCUUGAAUAACCAUGAAUAAACGUAAAGGAAUCAAACCUCUUGUACCAUUGUCUUGGAGAUUAUUUUAAUCCGUACAAGGAUUUCUUUAACAAGCAAACAUGAUCUUCCUUUCUUUCAAUUUUAAAUCCUUCAGGUUGAUGCAUGUAUAUUUGUUCCUCAAGUUCUCCAUGUAAGAAAGAUAUCUUAACAUCGAUCUGUUCUAAUUCAAAAUCAUGCAUGGAAACUAAGGCAAACAAGAUAAAAAUAGAGCUAUGUUUAACAACAGGUGAGCAAAUAUCAUUAAAAUCAACUCCUUGUACCUGACUAUAGCCCUUUGCAACUAAUCGUGCCUUAGACCUUACAUCUUCAACCCCUAGAAUCCCAUCUUUUUCUUGAAGACCCAUUUGAAACUAAUGAUUCUACUUACUAACGACGGCUUCACAAGUGACCAAGUACCAUUUUUAUGGAGAGAUUUAAUUUCUUCAUUCAUUGCAAUCAGCCACUUGGAUAAAUCAGCACCAGAAACUACUUCUGAAUAAUUUGAUGGUUCUCCAAUUUCUUCAGUUUUCUUUGCAACUGAAAAAAAAAAUACAACAUAAUCUCCAUAACUUUCUAGUUUGUGAAUUUGUCUUCUUGGUCUAUGUGUUGCUAUGGAAUACUCAUUUGGUUCAACUUCAGAAGUCACAAAUUCUGGCUCAACUUCUAGAGUUUCAACUGUAUUUUGUUCCACAGUUGAUGAGCUUGGCUCAGAAGGUAUGUCAAGUUCAACCUCCACCUGUUCAUACCUAUCAUGCUCUAUGUUUUUGGUACAAGAACUAGAAGACUCUUUUCUGGAAUGUAACAUAGAUGAUUCAUCAAAGGUUACAUCUCUGCUAAUUAUAAAUUUUGGUGACUUAGGAUCAGGGCACCAAAGUAUGUAUCCUUUCACCCCAGAUGCAUAUCCAAGGAAAAUACACUUUUUAACUCUUGGCUCUAAUUUUCCAUUAUUUAUAUGCAUGUAAGUAGGACAACCAAAAACUUCUAAGUAAGAAUAAUUAUCAGGUGUACCUGACCAUAUUUCCUCCGUAUUCUUAAAGUUCAAAGGUGCAGAAGGAGCACGGUUGAUAAUAUAACAAGUUGUAGAGAUAACCUCUGUCCAAAAAGCAUUUGUCAACCCAACAUUUGAAAUCAUGCAUCGGGCUCUUUCCAAAAGAGUCCUGUUCAUCCUUUCUGCAACACAAUUUUGGUGAGGUGUCAUCCUCAUAGUGCGAUGUUGAGCAAUUCCUUCAUUUUUGCAAAAUUUGUUGAACUGGUCAUUACAAAAUUCCAAGCCAUUAUUUGUUCUAAGCCGCUUGACCUGUUUUCCUGUCUGUUUCUCAAUCAAAACUUUCCAUUGUUUGAAAGUUAAGAAAACAUCACUUUUGUUUUAGAGGAAAUAAACUCAAACCUUCCUUGAAUAAUCAUCAAUGAAGGUUAACAUAUAUAUGGCACCACUUUUUGAUGGGCUACAAGAAGGACCCCAAAGAUCUGAGUGAAUAUAGUCCAAAGUACCUUUUGUUCGAUGAACUGCUAGAGUUUUGAAGCUGACUCUUUUCUGCUUUCCAAACACACAGUGUUAGCAAAACUCUAUUUUUUCUAUACUUUGUCCACACAUGAGACCUCUUUUGCUGAGGAUAGAAAGACCUUUCUCACUCAUAUUCCCCAAUCGUAUAUUCCAUGAUUUGGUGAUGUCAGGAUCAAAUUUAUUUGAAGUGGAAACUACAACAGCAACACCUGUAAUAGUGGAUCCCAAUAAAGUGUACAACACACUUGAUUUUCUUGCUUUCAUGAUCACAGGAGCACCUAGAGAGACUUUUAAAACUCCACCUUCACCUAUGUAUUUGCACCCAAGAGAUUCUAGAGUACCCAAUGAAAUGAGAUUAUUCUUCAAGUCAGGAACAUAUCCAACAUCGGUGAGAGUUCUAACCACACCAUCGUACAUUCUAAUUCGAACUAUACUUUUACCAAAAACUUUUCAAGGAGCAUUGUUUCCCAUCAAGACAACUCUACCUCCAACAGAUUCGAAUAUGGUAAACAAAUCCCUAUUGGGCACAUAUGAUAAGAAAAAUCUGAAUCUAAAAUCCACUCAUUGUUAGAUUUAAAAUUAUUAUUAGUUGCUAAAAAUAUUGUUCCCUCAGACUUAUCAACAGCUAUACUUGCUUCGGCGGAGUCAGCAUUUUGGUGCUCAUUUUUGUUUUCCUUAUGCUUUUUUUUGUUUUUCAACUUAUAACAUUUAGAAAUAAUAUGACCUUUCUUGUGAUAGUAUUUACACACUAUAUUUUUGUUUUUAGACUUUGACCUUGUUUUAGAUGUCUCACUAUUUGAUUCUUUCUUAUUAGAUCUACCUCUUACAAAUAAUCCUUCCUCAUGGGUUUCACUACUUUUCCCUGUAAUAUCUCUAUGUAUCUAUUCCUUUCUAUUUAAGAUAGAUUUAAUUUCUCUAUAAGAGAUAUUAUCCUUUCCAUAAAGCAUAAUAUCUCUAAUAUGCUUAAAUGAUUGAGGUAAGGAAAUAAGUAAUAAGAUGUCUUCAUCUUCAUCAUUAACUUCAGCAUCUAUAUUACUCAAAUCCAUCAGAAUAUAAUCAAAAGCAUCAAGAUGUAAGAGUUUAGAAGUACCUUCAACCAUAUGAAAUAUGUAAAGCUUUUGCUUUAGGUAAAGUGUAUCUUCCACUGUCCUCUUCAUAUACAAGGUUUUUAAUUUUUCUCACAUACCUUUCGCUGUGGUUUCUGCAGAUACUUCAUGUAAAACCUUAUUUAAGAGAUUUAGAAUGAUACCUAAUUUUUUUUUUUAUCUAUGGCGGAAAACUCUUCGUUCGUCAUAUUUUAUGGCUUCAUCUCCUUUCCUUCCAGUGCCAUGUCUAAGCCAUCCUGAAUUAGGAUAGCUUCCAUUUUUAAUUUUCACAUUCCAAAGUUUGCACUACGAUCAAAUUUCUCAACGUAAGUCUUUGUUUUAGUCAUUUUGGCUACUAAAAAUAACCUAGUUAGAUCCGUCUCUGAUACCAAUUUGUUAGGAUCGAGAACCCGGUUAUUGCAGAAUUUAACCAAAUAAUAUUAUAAAGACAAUAACAAGUUGAUAAUAACGACAAAUAAAGAAAAUAAAGGAGGCACAAAUUUAAUGUAGUUCGGUCAGUGUGACCUAGUCUACAAGCGGAGAGAAACAAUUUUCACUAUAUCCUUUUGGCCAUAAUAACAAAAAAUUUUGUUCACACUAUAAACCAGUUCUUUUGGACAUUUUUACCCCUUUACCUUAAAAAUUGAAUAUAUUCUUCUAUCCUAUUUUUAAUACAUUGAUUACUAUUAAUGAGCUUAAUUAUAGUUAAUUUCCAUAUUCAUUGGAAAAUGUUUAUUGCAUAAUCAUUACUUUUAUUGUCAAUUUUCCUUAGCCUUAAGAAUUCCAGUUAGGUAAAUAUGUUUUCAUACGUACUAAUUAUUUGUUAAUUUCAGUAUAAUUUCAUAAUUUGAAAACAUAAUCAUUAUUUGUUAAUUUUAGCUUAAAUCUAUGUGAACACAUUUUCAAAUACAUUUACUUAGGUAGAAAUUCAUAAUUAUAAUUUACACCUUUUCAAGUUAAGAAUAAAUAAUUAGGUUGAGAUAUCAAUAUUUCAGUUCGAUCUUAGUCAAUGCUUAUUCUUUCAUAGUAAGAAUUUUAUUUGUGACAGUAAAAAACAAUCAGUACUUUUGCUCGCAUUUUCUAUAUUUGAACAUAACAUCCUUGACUCUAGCUAUGACUGUUCAAAAUCAAACUGAAAUCAAUAAUCCGUAAUGAUAAUUUGGUUAUUGAACAAGUGGUUCGACUUAUCGAAUUACUAGGCGUAAAGUGUGUUGAAUUGUUGUUAUCGCAAUAUUUUAUAAAUUAUGUUUGAAAAUUAUUAUAUAUAUAUUAAUUUUAUUUAGAUGUACUAAUUAAAAAAAUAAUUCAUUAGAGGUCAUUUAGUAACAAAUAUAAGUACUGAUUCACAAUUUAUCAAACCGCUGUAAUAUAGAGGCGAAAGACUUGCACUAUUAAUACUUACGUCUCACUCUCUUUGGUUCGACACAUAUGACUAUAUGAAUUAUUUUUAUAAUGUGUCGACAUUUACCAGUUUUAAAGUGUGAUGAGUUGUCGUUAUUGAAAUAUUUCACAAAUAAUUUUUAUAAAUUAUUCAAAUAUAUAGUUUAAUUUUAUUUUAACACAAUAAUUAAAAAUAAGUAACUAGAGGUUGUUUUAGUAACAAAUAUAAGUAAUGAUUCAUAAUUUAUUAAAUCGGCGUAACAUAGAGGCAAAAGACUUGUAUGAUCAACACUAUGUGUCACUCUUCUUGGUUCGACACAUAUGAACUAUAUGCAUGAAUUUGUAAUGUGCCAACAUUUACCAGUUCUAAAGUGUGUUGAGUUGUCGUUAUUGAAAUAUUUCACAAAUUGUGUUUUAAAGUUAUUUAAAAUAAAGUUUAAUUUUAUUUAAAUAUUGUCAUACCCAAUUUUUACCUAGGUCAAAACAACAUGAUAUUAUGGACUCUAAAAAGAAUUAAUUUUAUAAAGAGUCGACACCUAAUUUUAAGAAAAAUAGGAAACCUAUUUAUUUAUUAACAAGUGUGACUUUAUUCUAAUCUACGAAACUAAUUUAAAUUUUAGGUAAGGGUUUAAAUUAUUCCGAAGAAAAGGUAUUAGGCACCCUUCAGAAUCCACAAAUGUGGUUCCCGGUCAGACUUAGAUUUAUUAAAAGAAAGAGAAAAAAUUGAUAUUUGUAAGUACAAAUAUAAAAUGCAUAUUAAAACAAUAUAAACAAAUUAUAUAUAAAGAAUGUGUAAAUUGCAUAUGUUAUCGUAAAAAUAUGUGUAUAAAAAGUGUAUGAAAAUAAAUAAAAAUACAUGAGAAUAUGUAUGAAAAAAAUGAAGAGAUUAAAUAAAGAAAAUUUGUUCAAAGGAAAAGAUUACGUAAUGUUUUUAGUGUAAAAAUAUAAAUUAUUCUAUUAAAUAUCUAAAUCAAUUUAAUUCUCUUAUAUAAAUAGUAACGGCCUAAAUUUGCCUAACGCGUGAUGAAAAUUGGGUAAAAAAUAAUAUCCCUCCCAACAUCCCAAAAAUAAAGAUUUCACUAUAAUUUAAUAUUGGUACAAUGAUAAAAAUAAAAGAAAAUACAAAUACAAAAAAAUUCAAGUUUUUCUUUGAAUAUCAUUCCCAAUGAGUAUUCCCGAGAACCUGUACAAACACUUGUAAUAAAAAUGUUAGUAACAAAUAAAUAGUUAUCAAAAUAAAUUGAACACGUAUAUGUGCAUAUAUGUAUAAAAAUAUAUAAUUUUCAUCAGAAGGUGGGCUCAGAUUAAAUUUUAAAUAUGGCAUGGCUACAAAGUGGUUGCUGAUUUAUUAGCCAUCCUAAAUCGUCUUGCCAAGAUACGAAUUAUAAAACUAUUGCGUUGUUAUAAAAAUUUCGUCAUCGCCCGAAUUUAUUUAUUUUUUACUACGUAUUUGUAUGUGUAAUAUCCGUCUUUUAGUUGAGGAGGCCUCAAAAAUCGACGAAAAAAAUUCCUUCAUCGGCCACAGUGUUUAUUUUGAUGCAAAAUAAGUAACCUUGAGAAAUAAAAAUCCAUAUCUAUUUUUGAUAUAAAAUAAAUAAUUUGAAAAGUAAAGAUAUUUCUUUAUAUUGGGGUAGCCUCAAAUAUACAGACGGAGAGAUAAUUUCAUUGGCCAACUAGUGUAGUAUUUUAUUGAUUAUCAGUAUAACCUCAAAGUCAGUAAAUAAAAAGAAUGAAAUCGUCCAAAUUUAAUUUCCCAAAAUGCGAACCAGUAGUAAUUCCACCCAAAAUAUAUCAAAAACUAUGCCAAAUCAGUCCAAAAUAUUUCUAAUGAAAAGUAAAAUAAACUAAGGGCAUUAGCAGUGAGGGAACUCAAAAAAACAACAACAAACGUUAGUGCACUUAGCAUAUCAACAGUAAGAGAACAAAUUAAACCAGAUUAAAACACUGCUCUUUCCGAAAACAAAUUAAAACACACGAAACAGAUUAUAACCGUGGGCGAUUUUAUUAAAUUACGGUAGCAAUUUUACGAAACACACACACCAGUAGCAAUUUUAUUAAAUUUAAAUCAGUACAAAAUUCGAAUUAUAUUAAAUUCAAAUAAUAUUAGUCCCGAAUAAAUAUUACGGAUUAAUAUAAUUGAAUUAAUUAUUUAAGUCCAAAUAGGUAUGGAUUUAAAUAAGGCCCAAUAUUUAUUGGGUUAGUCCAUUAAUUUGAUCCACAAAUGAUGAGCCCACUUUACUAAGCCCAAAAUAUUGUCAUAUUCUAGAGCCCAAAUAAGCGCCACGUGUCAAAUGACGUGGAAUGCCAAGUCAAGUGAAGGAGCCAAUAGGACCGUACCAUAUGUCAAACUGAUACAGCAGACCCAUGAAAUAAAAGCCCAUAAAAGGCGCCACAUCACUUAAAUUUGAUUGAUCAAAGAAAGUCCAUAUUCAUCAUGACUCUUCCUUUCCUACAACUAUAAAUAGGGGCCUCAUAAUUCAGAAAAAGGGACCCUUAGAACUCUAACAAGUAGUGAGAGAAAACUUGUGGAUCAAACUCCAUAAUUUUUCUAAAAAGCUCAAGCAUUCAAAUCAAGUUCAUCAAGAUUCAAGAUCAAGACCGCAAUAUUCAAGAACAAGCUCAAAAGCCCUUGAAUUCAAGCACAAGUCAAGAUCAAGCCCCUCAAAUCAAGAAAUUAAGUUCAAAUUCAAGAUCAAGCUCGAAGCCCUUGAAUUUAUAUUUGAAAAGAUGAAUUAGAGGAUUCAUAGAGAUUGUAACACUCGCUUUGAAAUUAAUAAAACGAUUGUUGUAAUGUUUUUUGUCUCGAUUAUUUAUUUUUUGAUCUCAAAAAUUUUAUUGUCCAACAAUAACAAACCAAAUUAGGGAAACAAGAUAUACAAUAGCACUUAAACCAAUAAAAACAAAAUUCCAGGGAGUGUUUUUUGACGAACAACAAUAAUAAAUGGAGAUGAAAGUGGCGUCGUUUCUAUGGAUUUAGCUGGAGCAACGCCGUAUGUACAAAGCUCCGAUAACAUCUAGCCUAAAAAUGGUACAACAACAAAUGAGAGGGAGCAGCGAGGUGGGGAGUUCAUUAGGUGAUGAAAGGAGGAAGAAGGGGAUGUAGCCGGUAGGUAUGGGUGGUCGGUGAUGCUGGUGAGGUGGUGGAUUUCGCCGGAGUCCGGCCAUGCUCACCGAAGAAAGAAGGAAAGAAAAAAAAGAGCAGAUGAUAUUUUUUUAGUGUGUGUUUUAGCGUGUGUAUUAAAAGUGUGUUUGUGAGAGAAACAAAGUCUGUGAGGGAAGUCAUUCUAAACUGUAAAGUGUGUAUUUUUUGUAGGCAAAAUGACCUUCUGGACCUCUGUACUAUGUCGGUUUUGUAAGUUGGACACUUUUACUUACAUGUUUGUCAUCUGAAUUCCUGAAUCCACUAAAAAGCAACACUUUAAACUCUUUUUUGGUGAGUGUAACAGACUUUUUUCCACGUCAGCUGCCACGUCAUCUGUCACGUCAUUUAAAAAAAGUAUUACAUUAAAUUCCAAGUCAUUUUUAAAAUUCUACAUAACAAAUUAAAUAUUAAAAUUAAUUUAAUUAAAUAAGAAAAAAUUAUAAAUUUUAGAAAAAUUUGAAUAAUCAUGUUUUUAUUUUUGCUCACAAAUUAAACAUCAAAUCCAUUUCAAAUAAUUAAAAUUAUUCUCCAAUUAAUUUAAAUUUUUAAUUAUAAAUUCAUAAGUACAAACAUGAUAAAUUUUUGAUUUUUAAAUUUGAAUAAUUUUAACAAAUUCAAAAAAAGUUUAAUUUUUUCAAGCGAAAUUCACUAAUUUUUUUCAAUAUUCACUAUCACUAACUUUCAAUUUAAAUUUAAAUUUUAAUCUAAAAAUAAAAUAAAAUAAUUUCAAAUUUAAAUUUUAAUUAAAAAAUGAAAAGAAUUAAAUUGAGAAGAAAAAUUAAAAUUAAAAAGAAAAAGUGAACGUGUGUGGGGUGGUGGGGAAGCGGGAUGGAAGAGUGUUGGGGUGGGGUAUGAGGGCUGGAAGGGGCUGGGGAUGGGGUGGGAAUAGGGGUGGGAGAGGUGGAGNNNNNNNNNNNNNNNNNNNNNNNNNNNNNNNNNNNNNNNNNNNNNNNNNNNNNNNNNNNNNNNNNNNNNNNNNNNNNNNNNNNNNNNNNNNNNNNNNNNNNNNNNNNNNNNNNNNNNNNNNNNNNNNNNNNNNNNNNNNNNNNNNNNNNNNNNNNNNNNNNNNNNNNNNNNNNNNNNNNNNNNNNNNNNNNNNNNNNNNNNNNNNNNNNNNNNNNNNNNNNNNNNNNNNNNNNNNNNNNNNNNNNNNNNNNNNNNNNNNNNNNNNNNNNNNNNNNNNNNNNNNNNNNNNNNNNNNNNNNNNNNNNNNNNNNNNNNNNNNNNNNNNNNNNNNNNNNNNNNNNNNNNNNNNNNNNNNNNNNNNNNNNNNNNNNNNNNNNNNNNNNNNNNNNNNNNNNNNNNNNNNNNNNNNNNNNNNNNNNNNNNNNNNNNNNNNNNNNNNNNNNNNNNNNNNNNNNNNNNNNNNNNNNNNNNNNNNNNNNNNNNNNNNNNNNNNNNNNNNGAGGAAAAAAGAUUCUUGUUUUAUUUUUUUAAUUUUAAUAUUUUUAUUUUUUUAAAUUAUUUUAAUGUAAAAUUGGCCAAAAAUUGACCCUCACUCACACCCCAGGCAAGUGACUGCACUUUCCUUGUCUUAGUCACCAUUUCAAUGCCACAUAGGCGAGGUCAACAGUCAAAGAAUUCAAAAUAUUGCUUUUUAAUGGGUUCAAGGGUUUAGAUGACAAUCAUGUUAGUAGAAGUGUCCAACUUACAAAACCGACAUAGUACAGAGGUCCAGAAGGUCAUUUUCCCUUUUUUAUAUUAAAGAAUUGUUCCCCCCCUCUUAUUAUUUAUAAUGAUAAAUAAAUACCAACAUACCCAACAUCAACAUACCCAAAUCAGCAACAUACCCAACAUCAACAACAUAUAUUUUCGAAUCAGCAAACUUAAAUUCUUGCAUACAUUAUUUAUAAUAAAAGUGGUGCUCAUUAUUAACUAAAAAAUAAAAUCAUCCCUUUAACCAUUAAAAUAUAUCUUAUUAACCAAAAAAUAAAGAAUUAAACUAGUCAUUUCAAUUUUCAUCUUUAAAAAAGUUGACAUAAUUUUGACUCGAUUGAUUUGUUACUAUGUACAUUAAAAUGAUUAAGCCGACUCAUAUUUGUAGGUCGUAUUAAAUAAUGUACAAAAGUAUAAAUGCGAUAUAUAAAUACAAAAAAAAUAUAAACAACAAAUAAAAAAUAUAAAUAUCUUAAAAAAAUAUAUUAUGCCAUAAAGAACUAAAAUUAUACUGUUCAGUAAAAAAUUACAGUGCUGUGCUGUGUACGUCCCCAAAUGAUAGUGCAAAAAUAUUAAAAUAAUAAUAAACUGAUAAAAAUUCUAAAAUUUACAAAAUUAAAGAUAAUUAUCAACAAAUUAUAUAAAAUUAAAAUAUAACAAUAAAUGAUUAAAAAUUCUAAAAUAAUGAUAAUUAUCAAUAAUUUAUUAAUAAUUACAAAAAUGUGUGAAAAAUUGCAGUUUGUGCCAUUUAACGAUUAGAAAGUCUAAAUGCCUUAAUUUUGAGUUUGGAGAGCCAAAAUUGGGUGUCAAUAGUUUGCGCCUUUUCGUUUGAAUAUAAUGUAGAAGUGUUCAAACAAAAAUAUUAACGUGUAGCUAAUUUUGCUAGAUAAAAAAUUAUUUUUGAUAAAAAUUCGAGCAAACUAUAAUUUAGAUUUGCUUACAUAUUUUGAGUUGUAUGAGGAUGAGGUCGGGUAUAACUCAAAAGUUAUCCCAGCAUGUCCUAAUUUGGGUUGAAAAAAUUCAAUGCGUCCUCGAAUUCUAUGCCUACAAGAUUUAUAAAACUGAAAAGUAGAGGACAAAUGAGUAACUAAGCUUGAUUUUUUUUUGUUGUGGUUAGUUUUUCCUUUUUUCCAUUUUUUUUCAAGAAACAAAAAAUUCAAAAUGCAGUGCUUAACUAAUGAAGAAAAAAUUAUACAAGCAAAGAUAACAUCUAGUGCUUAAAUGGUAAAAUAAGUGCAUUACGGUAUAUGUAGGUAAAGACAAAACAUGCAGUGCUUAAAUAACAAAAUAAGUGCAUUGCGAUGUGCAAAUAAAUAUAAACAUGACACGCAGUGCUUAAAUUACAUAAUAAAAAAAUGCAUUGCGAUAUGUGCAAGAAAAAAUCAAGAUGGCAUGUAGUGCUUAAAUGAUAAAAUAAAUGCAGUGAGAUGUUGCAAGGCAUGCAAUGCCUAGAUUAUAAAAUAAAUGCAUUGCGAUAUGUGCCAAUAAAGGUAAAGAUGAUAUGCAGUGCUUAAACAAUAACAUAUAUGCAUUGCGAUAUUUGCGAGACAUGCAGUGGUUAAAUGAUAAAACAAAUGCAUUGCGAUGUUUGCGAGGCAUACAGUGCUUUAAUAACAAAAUGCAUUGUGAUAUGAGCCAGUAAAGGUAAAAAUGACAUGCAGUGCUUAAAUAAUAUAAUAAAUGCAUUGCAAUAUAUGCGUGCAGUGCUUAAACGAGAAAAUAAAUGCAUUGUGAUGUUUGCUGGGCAUGCAGUGCUUAAAGGAUAAAAUAAAUGCAUUGCGAUAUGUGCGUACAAUGUUUAAAUUCAUAGCAAUAUGCGUCAAUAAAGGCAAAGAUUACAUCCAAUGCUUGAAUAAUAAAAUAAAUCCAUAGCGAUGCGUGCAAAUAAAGACAAAGAUAACAUGUGGUACUUAAAUGAUAAAAUAAAUGCAUUGCGAUGCGUGCAGAUAAAGAUAAAGAUAACAUGCGGUGCUUAAAUGCAUUGCGAUGCAUGCAGAUCAAGAUAAAGGCAAUAUGUAAUGCUUAAAUGAUAAAAUAAAUAAAUACAUUGCGGUACGUGCAGUAAAGGCAAGAAUAAAAUGCAAUACUUAAAUGAUAAAAUAAAUGCAUUGUGAUACGUGCUUGUAAAGGAAAAAAUAGAGUGAGGUGCUUAAACGUUAAAAUAAAUGCAUUGCGAUGCGUGCAAAUAAAGUCAAAGAUGAAAUAUAGUGCUUAAAUGAUAAAAUAAAUGCAUUGCGAUAUGAGCCAGCAAUGGCAAAAAUGACAUGCAAUGUUAAAUAAUAAAAUAAAUACAUUACGAGAUAUGCAAAUAAAUACAUACAGUUCUUAAAUAACAAAUGAUAAAACAAAUACAUUGUGAUACGUGCAAGUAAAGGCAGAGAUAACAUACAGUGCAAAAGGAAUAACGAAGUACGAUAUGUGCAAGUAAUGAUACAAGUCAAAUGGCCGUCUUAUCUUUUGAUGACAUCUUUAGAGGUCAACACCUAGAAAAUAAAGAUGUGGUCACCUCGAGGACACAUGGACAUGUAUGGAGAAUCCAUUUUGAGCAUAAACAAGGUCGUGAGUGGAAGAUUUCUUGGAGCAUUGAAGACUUGAGGACUCACGGAUUUGGAUUACACUUAAUGGCUCACAGUUUGGUCACCUUAUUAAGGGCAUUUUGGUCACUUCACUUGGCCCAAAUGCACUCCAUGGCUACCCCACCUAUUAAGGGUAUUGUUGUCUUUUUUAUCUUGUCUUGUAAUAAUAUAAAUAGAAUAUUUUAGGUCUUUUCUCAUUAGAUUAUUAAUGAUGAAAUAUUGAAAGUCUUAAUAUCUCUAUUGAGAGUGUUCCACCUUAGUGUAGUUCUUAGUUAGGGCUUGGAAUAGCUAUUGUAGUUUAGGAGUUGGAAAAGCCAAUAUUGACCCUUGCUUGAAAAUGGUGGAUCUUGAGGUGAGUUGAUUUCCUUGGCGGUCACCGUAAGAGUGUGGUUUAGAUUAUUACAUUCAUUAGGGGUUAGUGUUGAUAUACACUUGGUUCUUAAUCUUGUAAUAAUCUUUGUCUCAUUAUCUAUCCUUUACUUUUAUUGUAAUCCUGUUGUGUUGUUCUUGUUCCCAUUUUCUUGGGUUUGGGGUGUUGUUGGAAUCCAAAAUUAUUGUUCAUCUUGUAUUCAUCUUGUGUUGUUAAUCUUAUAGUUUGGUUGGCUGUUUUGGUGUGAUAAACACCUUGUAAACUCUUCAUUUUUGUUUUCAUUGGUGAAUCCGAGAGUGGUCACCAAAGAGGUCCUCGAUUUCUUGAACUUGUGGACUGAUUUUGGUGUAUGUUUUGUGCCUUCCGUUUUCUUUCUUGUAUCAUUUGGUAUCAAAUAAUGGCUUGAUUUUGUUCCCACAAGAUCAAUCUUGGGCUUGCUUGCUUGAAAAUUAAAAAAAAAAAAGUUAAAAACUGAAAAUUCUAAAAAGAGGUAAAUCUGUCCAUUUUGUUGUCUUGGCCAAAAUUGUGUCUUGACCGAGAUUUGUGUCUUGUAAACUUAGGUCUAAGAGUCCUUUUUCUGUGUUAUGUUGUUGGUAGUGUUUGCUUAUUCAUCCCUAACACUAAAGGAGUCUAAAUCUAAGUUUGAGCUUUAAAAGUUGAUCUUGUUGUUGUGAAUCCCAAGUGUGGCUGAUUGUGUUGGCAUUGUUGUUGUUGGUUCAAGUUUUGAACGUGUAUUGUGGGGAUUUUUUUUGUGGAUUUUAAGCUUGAAAAGGUGUUUUUGUUGUUUGGAGGGUCCAACUUGAACCUUAGAACUUCAAGACUCAAAGUUUGUGUUCUUAGUGUUUUUCACCAUCUCCAUAUAUUGUUGAAGAAAAGUGGUUGUUGAUCUCAGAAGUUGAAGAAAAGUGGUUGUUGAUCUUUUGAGUCAAACUGAAGUGGUGAGAUUCCAAACUUCGAAAGACCCUAGUUCAUGCUAUGGAUUUAUUUUUGUCUUUACUCUUUCUUUGGUCUUAGUUUUGGCUAUGGUCGGGGGCAUAUCCCAACUGGAUAUUCUUUGGCUUUGAUUAGAGGCUUUAUCGGACUACGGUAGGCUUGAGCAGUAUCAUCAUUGGUAUUGGUUGGUAUUUUAAAUUAUGAAAGGUUGGUUUUGGUCAUAGACUGAUUAUAAUGUCUUUAAAUUGAUAUUCUCUUAUCUUGUUAUAUGUUCAAAAUUCAUUUGACAUGAGGUGUAAGAUGGUCAAUGGUUUGGGUAUUGGGGGAUACCCGACAUGACUAGGUCCUGGUUCGGGUCAUGUCAGAUUGGUAUUAGAGACUAGGUUCAUGGUUAAUCGGGUGUCCACAAAGCUGUGUCAAAUAGAGUCUCUUUUAUGGGUAUGUAGCAUACCACAUUCAUAAGGGAGAGGCUAUGAGGCAUUUAGGAAUGUUUCUCUUUCUUGUGUUUUAUUUUUGGGCUGUAGAGUCUAAGGUCUAGGAUCUUUCUAUUUCCUAUUUGUUUGCCUUUCAGAUCAUGCCUCCAAGAAGAUCUGAUAUUUAUAGAACCUUUCUGUCCUAUCUGAGGAUAAUAGAAAUAGAGCUCAUUCUACUUUAGGGGUUCAGACUAGGUGUAGGGACACUGUCUCUGAUGGUCCUAAUAGAGAUCCACCGAUUCCUCUUAUCCCUCCUCAGACACCUUAAGAUGACGUGUCUAAUGUUGAGUUUUGCCAAUCGAUCCAUCUGCUUACUCAGUUGGUUGCCUCUCAGACUGAGCGUGCAAAUUUUAUUACUCCACUAUCUGAGGCCACUAGAGUUGGCUAAUUUAUGAGGAUGAAUCCCUCUAUUUUCACUGGUAUAAGGUUGAGGAGGAUACUCAGUGUUUCAUAAAUAAAAUGGAAAAGAUUUUCUAUGUGAUGCAUAUUACUGAGAUAGAAGGUGUGGAGUUUGCAGCCUAUCAGUUGAAGGAUAUACCACAUUUGUGGUAUGAAGAGUGAGAGUAACUCAAGGGUGUGGAUGCUGAGUAUGCCUUGUAGGAGUACUUUUCUAGAGCUUUUCUUGAUUGCUUCUUUCCCCAAGAGUUAAGGGCGGAAAAAAUUGAAGAAUUCGUGAAUUUGAGGCAAGGCAAGAUGACAGUCAAGGAGUAUGGUUUGAUGUUUCAUCAGUUGUAUCGGUAUGCUCUAGAGUUAGUUCCUAGCAUGAGGGCUAAAAUGAGGAAAUUUACGUCUGGGUUAUCCCAUGAUUUGAUUCUAAAAAGUAAGGCUACCUUGUUGAACAAGGAUAUGGAUAUUUCUCAGCUUGUGGUUUAUAUGUAAUAGGUUGAGAAAGAGAAGAAGAAGUAGGCUGAAAUAGGGAAAAAGCAGAAUAAGAAGUUUAGAUUUUCUGAUCAGGGUAGAGGUCAACAGCAGAGUGGUAGAUAUGGUGGAAAGUGGUCUAAGAAGAAGUGGGGGAUUUCUAGUUCCUACUUUACGGCUAGUGCUACUUAUCUAAAGUCGUCAGGUGAUCGUUGUUCACAGCAUGAUAGUGGGUUUAAGGAACAUGGUGCCCAAUCUCAGGCUAGCAGGGCCCAAUCAGCUUUAUCAUAUUCUCUUUGCAGAUUGUGUGGUUGAUUGCAUUAGGUUUUUUGUGAUAAAGGAAGGGACAAGUGUUUUAAUUAUGGUUAGCCAGGGCAUAUGCUUAAAACUAUCCCUUGGGUAAGGUUGCUUCUAGGGAAAACAAGGUUUCGAUUGCCUCUUCAUUAGUUUUCGUACCAAAAGGUGCCCCAUCUGGCUUCGGCACUGGUUAAAAUUGACUUUAUUCUCUCACAACCCAUCAGGAGUCCAAAAUAUCACUCGAUGUACUUACUGGUUUUUUGAAACUCUUUUCUCGUGAUCUGUACUAUUUACUUGAUCUAGGGUCCACUCUUUCUUAGGUGACCUUAUUUGUGGCUGUGUAUUUUUGGUUUUGGUCCUGAGUAUAUUUUGGACCCCUUUUUAUAUUUCUACCCUAGUGGGUGAUUUUGUGGUGGCCAAGAGAGUCUAUAGAGGUUGUGUGUUAUGUUUGGGUGGUAAGGAGACUUUGGUGGAUUUGUUUGAAUUAGAUAUGGUUGAUUUUGAUGUCAUAUUAGGGAUGGACUGGUUGCAUUCGUGCUAUGUCUCUUUAGAUUGUCGGCCCCAUAAUGUCAUUUUUAAAUUCCCUAACGAGCCGGUCAUUGAGUGAAAGGGGGUUAUGUAGUGCCUUAGGAGAGAUUCAUAUCAUAUCUUAGAGAUCGAAAGUUGAUUUCCAAAGGAUUCCUUUAUCAUUUGGUCUGGGUUAAAUAUUCUAACUCGAAGGUUCUUCCUUACAAUCUAUCCUGGUAGUGAAUGAAUUUCUUAAAGUUUUUUCCUGAUGACUUUUCUAGUGUCCCUCCUGAUAGGGAGAUUGAUUUUGGGAUUGAUCUAAUUUUGGACACUCGCUCGAUCUCUAUUCCCUCAUAUAGAAUGGCUCCAGCUGAGUUAAAGGAGAUUAAGGAGCAAUUAAAGGAUCUUCUAGACAAAGGUUUCAUCCAUCUUAUUGUGUCCCCGUGGGGUACACUUAUUUUGUUUGUGCGCAAGAAGGAUGGUUCCCUUUGGCUAUGUAUUUAUUAUUGUUAAUUGAACAAAGUGACUAUAAAGGAUAAGUACCCUCUUCUAAGGAUUUAUAAUUUGUUUGGUCAACUUUAGGGUGCUAAGUUUUUCUCCAAGAUCGAUCUUCAAUCUGGGUAUCAUUAGAUAUAGAUUCGGGAGGUCCCUAAGACUGCCUUCUGUACCUAAUAUGGACAUUUUGAGUUCUUAGUCAUGUUAUUUGGUCUGACUAAUGCCCCGAUGAUAUUUAUGGACUUUAUGAAUAGGGUCUUUUAUCAAUUUUUGGAUUUGUUUGUCAUUGUAUUUAUAGAUGAUAUUUUGGUGUACUUCUAGAGUUAGGUGGAUCAUGUCGAUCACCUCCGUAUAGUGUUUUAGACCUUGAAAGACCAGCAUUUUUAUGCUAAGUUCUCUAAGUGUGAGUGCUGGUUGAAUACUAUUAUUUUUUUGGGUCACGUUAUAUAUGAAAGGAUCAUGGUGGAUCGACAAAAGGCUCCAGUGGUUAAGAAAUGGCCUAGACCCCUGACUCUAAUUAAUAUCUGGAGCUUCUUGGGUUUAGCUAGUUACUACAGGAGAUUUGUGGAAUGUUUCUCUUCAUUAGUUGCCCUGUUGGCUGAGUUAACUCAGAAGAAGGAGAAGUUCUUAUGGUUUGAUGAUUGCGAGGGUAGUUUUGAGAAGCUGAAGAAUAAGCUGACUACGACUCCGAUCUUGACUUUUCCUGAAGGAACUGAUGGUUUUGUGGUCUAUUAUGAUGUAUCCCGUGUGGGUCUUGGUUGCAUUUUGAUUCAGCGUGGAAAGGUGGUGGCUUAGGCCCCUAGACAUUUGAAGGUUCAUGAGAAAAAUUAUUCGACUCAUGGCUUGGAGGUGUUGGUUGUGGUGUUCUUAUUGAAAAAAUGGCGUCACUAUUUUUAUGAAGUGCAUAUGGAUAUAUUUUCUGAUCCUAAGAGCCUACAAUAUGUGUUCACUCAGAAAGAGCUAAAUCUCAGGCAAAGAAGGUGGCUUGAGCUACUCAAGGAUUAUUACAUGAGUUUUUACUACCAUCCAGGUAAAUCUAAUAUGGUUGUUGAUGCUCUUAGCAAGUUAUCCAUGGGGAGUCUAGCUCAUGUGCAUAGGGAUAAGUGGGAAUUAGUGAAGGACAUUCACCAUUUGGCAAACCUCAGAAUUCGUCUCUUCAACUCAAAUGUUGGUGGUGUGUUUGUGAAAAAGGUGGCACAGUUGUCUCUUGGUACUAAAUAAAAGAGAAAUAGGUAUUGGAUCCUAUACUAAUGAAGAUUAAGGAAGAUGUUGGUCAUCAGAAGAUGAUGACCUUCGAGAUUGGGGGUGAUGGUACCUUAAGGUUCCAAGGGAGGUUGUGUGUUCCCAAUAUUGAUGAAUUGUGACAGAGCAUUUUGGCUAAAGCUCAUGAGUCGCAUUAUACCAUUCAUCCUAUUUCAAUAAAGUUGUAUCGUGAUCUUAAGAAGAUCUAUUAGUGGAACAAUAUGGAGUGAGAUAUGGCCAGUUUCAUGGCUAAAUACAUGGUGUGUCAACAGGUAAAGUCGAGAACUUGAGGCCUAGAGAGUUGUAUCAAGAAAUUGAGUUACCUAUGUUGAAGUGGGAAGUGGUUAAUAUGAAUUUUGUUAUCGAUCUUCCUCGAUCUCAAAAUUAGUUUGAUUCGAUCUGGGACAUCAUGGAUAGGAUGACUAAGUCUGCUCACUUUUUGCCAGUAAGGACUAACUUUUUGGAGGAGGAUUAUGCACAUUGUUCAUUGAGAAAAUUGUGAAGUUGCAUGGGGCGCCUGUUUUCAUCAUGUCAGAUCAUGGUGCUCAAUUUUCAUCAUACUUUUGGUGCUCGUUUCGAAGGGGUUUAGGGAUUAAGGUGAGCUUAGUACUACUUUCCACCUGCAGUUGGAUGAGAAAGCGUAAGGACUCUUCAUGCAUUGGAAGAUAUUCUUUGAGCUUGUAUGAUUUACUAUGGUGGUAAUUGGGUUGAUCAGUUGUCUUUUAUAGAGUUUAUGUAUAAUAAUAGCUGCCACUCUAGUAUCGAAAUGGCUCUGUUAGAGGAUUUGUAUGGUAGGAGGUGUUGGUUUUGUUUUGGGUGGUUCAAGGUUGGUGAGGCCGAGAUGUUUAGCCUGGAGUUGUUUCACCAAGCCAUGGAGAAGGUGAAGGUGAUUCGGUAUAGAUUUAAAGCCACCCAAAGUCCUAUGCGGGUGUGUUAAUUAGGAAGUUAGAGUUUGAGGUUGGUGAUUGGGUGUUCUUAAAGGUGUCUCCUAUGAAGGGAGUAAUGAUGUUUGGGAAGAAGGGGAAACUCAGUCCCCGGUAUGUCGGCACGUACUUGGUCUUAAAGAGGGUUGGUAAUACUGUAUAUGAAUUAGAGUUGCCUUCUAGUUUGAUCUCCGUUCACCUGGUAUUCCACGUGUCAAUAUUUAGAAAGUGUGAGGGUGAUCCAUCCCUGAUUGUGCCUAUCAAGGAUAUUAGUAUUUCAGAUUGCUUGUCUUAUGAGGAACUCUCGGUUGAAAUAUUAGAUUGGUAAGUUCGUCGAUUGCGGAGAAAAUACGUAGCUUUGAUAAAUUCCUUGGUUUUCUUAUUUUCUCUCUUAAAGGUAGGAGUAGUGAUGUUUGGGGUUCAAUCGUGCUGGUAAAUGCCUUGUCCCAUCAUUUAAGGACGAAUGAUCCAAGUAGGGGAAAAUUGAAACACCCGAAUUUUGGCCCUUAAAAAUUUCUUGAGCUUUGAGCUUACUGCCUUGGUUACGACUUGACCUCAUGAGUUGUAGAGUGUCUUGGCGGGUUGGAUGACCCUAGUCGUAGGGUGACCAAAGUAUGGUGUUGAGUUUUUAUCCUGGGUACGAUUUGAGGGAACGCGUCGUUGGGAGAAAUCAUAACUAAAUCAUGUAAGUUUGUGGCUUGAUUCUGCUCUGAGUAUGAUUUGCUCACUAAGAGCCAUAAGGAUAUGUUACGAGUAUUGACAUGAAAUCGUAGGAUGUCCAAUGUUCAACCUAAUUGAGUAAUAUUUUGACUACGACUUGACCUUACGAGCCGUAUGGUCCUGUUAUGAGUAAGCUUGUUGAGUCAUCAGAUUGCCAGUGUAUGAGAAUCUUUGUCACUGUCUUGGUCAUGACUUGUGGUUAUAAGUCGUAAAGAGGGGUUACUAGUCAAUGGUUGACUCAUAGUCAAAGGCGUUUUCCAGAUUUUAAGUCUAGGGCAUUCUGGAUAUUUUUCCUUUUACCCAACUUGAAACCCACGUCUUAUAACCUUUUAAGGGUAUCCUUAGCUCUCAUAAACACAUCCAAUAGACUCUCAAAUACUCUCAAAUCCUCAAGGCCUAGAACAUUUUGGGUUUUCACGAGAUUAAUAAAUUUGGGCUUCCAAGUGUGAUUUUUCUCCAUACUACUUGGUGUUUAAGGCAUGUUACUCUUCCCUGAUCGUUAAUUUUAUAAGUUCAUGUUUUUUAAAGUAUCAUUCAUGAGAUAUUAAUGUUGGGUUUUGAACUAUGGGUUGAGGGUUUUUAAUAUAAUUUUUUUAAAUGCUUCUUCCAUGAUAUUUAUGAAAUAAUUGUGCUUAAAUUGAUGAUUGAUAAAUACAUUGGGGUGCGUGGGAAUGGUGGAUGGAAAUAGGGGUACGAUGGAGUCCCCAAAUUAAUUAUUUUGGUAUGGAAAUUUGUAAUAAACUCAACUCACUUGCGUAAUUGAUUUUGGUUUAUGCAUUAUCACCUGGCUUGGCUUGUUUCUUGAAACUAAUGCAUGGUAUAAUAGGUUAAAUGGUUUAGGAUAGUUUUGAAAAUCUUAUGGGGUACAAUGGAAUUCCCUAAGUGAGUGAUUAUGAGAACCUUGCAGGGUACAUCGAAAUCCCCUAAGUGAUUUUAAUAAUGGAGUCUGCAAGAUACUUGGGAAUCCCCUAAGUGUUAGCUAAUGACAUUUCUUGCAAGCUAUAGUCGGUAUGACUAUACCACUUAAUAAUGCCUUAUUAAUUGACUCCUGGGAUCGUGGUUUGGUUAUGUGCUAAAUGUUUUAAUUGGGCAAUAAUAUGGGUUGGAAUAGCUAGCCGUGAAGGUGUGAGUCUGAGGGACGGACACUGGAAACUCAUGUUUGCCGAAAUAAGGGUUGGUAUUGAUGACCGUGAGCUUGUGGGGUACAAGGGAAUCCCCCAAGCCUAAACACGUAUAUAUGUAUCAUGGAAGGCGAAGGGUACAAUGGAAUCCCUAUCCAUUUAUGAUAUCUCUGAUUCCUGUGGCUAACACGCAUUAGGUCCCAUUCAGGGGAUAACACUGGACCAUAUAGACCGUGGGUGGACAUAUGAUGGUAAAUCUACACAACCCAGAUUACGAUUUUAAAAUGCAAGCUAAAUCUUGUACCCUAUCCUGAGAUGGUAUAUAUAUGUAUUUAUUUGCAUAUAGUUAUGUAAAUUGGUUUGACUUGGUUUUGGAUUGAUGGCAUUACUUUAUCUUUAUCCCUGAGUUACAUGCUAGUAUUCACCCAGCUAACCGUCUUCAAAACAUGUAUCCCUCGCGAUGCAGGAACCGGCCAUUCUCCCACUCCUUCUACUCAGUGACUAGGUGAUUCGUGGAUAAUUUUUAAGUCAGACCUAAGUGGUAAGCUUCCAUGCUUUGGAAGACCCCAGUUUAUGCUAUGGAUAUCCUUAUGCCUUUACUAUUUCUCUGGUCUUGGUUUUGGCUAUAGUCAGGGUCAUGUCCUGACUGGAUAUUCUUUGUCUUUGAUUAGAGGCUUUGUCGGGCUUUGGUGGGCUUGGGCGGUCUCAGUAUUGCUAUUGGUAUAUGCAUUGGUAUUUGUAUUGGUUGUCUUUUUUUUGGUUGUAGAAGGUUAGUUUUGGUUGUAGACUGAUUAUAGUGUCUUUAGAUUGAUAUUCUCUUAUCUGGUUAUAUGUUCGAAAUUCAUCCAAUGUAAGGUAGUCAAUGUUUUAGGUAUUGGGGUUGGUUUUCGGUUCGGGUUGGACUUGAGAUACCCAACACGGCUAGGCCCUGGUUCGGGUUGUGUCACCUUAUGUGUUUUUAGUAGAAGUUAUGCACUUUUGAUACUCACAAACAUAUUUUGAUUUCGAGAUUCAAUUUUGAUCUUGGAACUCUCUUGUAUUAUAUUCAGUUGAUUAAUUCAAUUACAGUUGUGGGUUUUCUACUUCUUAUUAUUGUGAUUUCAUCUAUGCUUUCGAUCAUGAACGUUGUUUAUUACUUCACAAGUAUAAGCGGUAAAAAACCCAUAGCUAGGGUUGUGGAAACUCUAGUAGAUUGAUGAAGUAGAGGAAAUUCUAUUGUUGUUCUAAACCGAUACCCAUGCAUGUAUUGCUUUAUCUUCAACCCCAGCCUUUAUUGGGUUACUAUAUUUGGUAGCGACCGUAUCAUCUUUUGAGAGAAGGUAUAGCUGGGACGUCACCAAAUUUUGGCACCGUUGCCAGGGAGUACGGUGUUGAUUAUUGAAUUGAAGUUGUUGCAAUUUUUGUGUUUUUCUUUUUUAUUUUUGUUCUUAGUUGGGCAUUCACCGGUGUAUGCCUAAUACACGGAGGAGAGGAAAUCCCUAACUCCCAGUAAAUUCGAAUCCAUAAAGGAUCCUACAAACAUUUAGUAGGAUGGUGGAAUAGAAAAAAGAUGAUAAUCCUGAAAGGGUUCAUGAUAUUGUACCUCUUCCUCCUUAUGAAGGAGGGCAGGAUAUUGUUGAUUGACAGACUGGUAGGCUUUUAUCUAAAGUUGAGAACAAGAGGAGGGCAACGGAAUAAGCUCAGCGGGUAGCUAGGGAGGUAGAUCUAGCUGAGCAAAGACAAGAAGCAGCCCAUCAAGUGUAGUAGGUGGAAACCAGAACAGAGCUAGAGGUGCCCGUGUUUAAGUGAUCCCAACAUAUAUAUAGGUGCGACCAUAUACAGAUGAUGAAGAAAUCUAAUAUACUGAGCUGGCAGAGACUGAAGCCAUUAUUCCUCAUGUUUUACCCCCAGGCAUCAAGUUUGACAUAAUGAGCGUAAUGAUCCAACUCCUAAAUCUAAAGGGUGUGUUUGCAGGUCUGCCUAAAGAUGAUGCAAAUUUGCACCUUGCUAAUUUUAUUGGGAUCUGCAGUUCGUAUACAAAUCCAGGGGUGAAUAGAAAAUGCUUAAACUAAGGUUGCUCCCCUUCUUACUUACAGGAGAAAAAUCUUUAUGGUUAAGGGAACUACCAAGAGGCUCUAUUACUACUUGGAAUGAGUUGUGCAAUCAAUUUUUUCCUCCAACUAGGAUUUUACAAUUGAGGAUGAGAUCUAUAAUUUCAUGUAGUUGCAGUUUGAAUCUAUUGAUAAGGCAUGGUUCAGGUUCAAGAAGAAGCUGAGUAUGGUUCCCAACCAUCAGAUAUUAGGGACGAGCUUAUUGUAGAUAUUUUACCGAUCCUUGACCAUCAGUUCUAGAUCCAUGAAAGAUACCAUCUCUUAAAGAGUUCUUAUGAGAUUACGUUGGGGGGUAACUUCGAAGAUGCUAGAUAAAUUAUCGCUCACUAACUGAGGGUGGCAAACUCGAGAGGCUGAGAAGGGAUCUGGCACAUAUGUUAUUGGUGCCUCCUGUGAGAAAAAAAUUGUUGAUGAUUCAGUAGCAUAAGAAAUUAUGCUACUAAGAACUAAUAUAGGGGUACUAGUAAAGCAUCUUACCAUAACGACUUCCGAGAAAGUGAAUGCAGUAGCAGCACAGGGGUCGGCUUCAAUAGCUUAAGAGCCAGAACUGAAGGAGGAAACAAGUUAUUUGGAUCUCCAGUUGGAAGGUUUCUAAGCCCAAGGGCAAGGGAACCAAGGUCAGAACUGCUAUAAAAGAUAUAAAGACCGUAGUAGAGAGUGAGACGGUGACCGGAAGAAGAUGGAUGACUACAGAGAGAAGAGAGAUAGGAACAUUCCACCUAGUAGAAGAGAUGCAAAAUCAAGAAUGGAAGAGAUGCUAGCUAAAAUGGUUAAGGGUCAAGAAAAUCAAGAGAUCAACCUUAAGUAGAUUAAGGCCGACAUUUUAGGGUCAAACUAAAAGGUCGAAUCACAUGUCACUACUAUGAAACAGUUAGAGCACCAGUUCGGGUAGAUGUUAGUAACUGUAAACCAGAGGAUGCAGGUACCCUUCUAAGAAACACUGUGCAGAAUCCAUAAAAUAAUGGUCAUGUUCUUACUAUUAUCACGUAGAGUGGUAUGACUAUUAUGGAUCCCCUACUACCUGCUGCGAAAGCUACUAUUGAUGAGACAUCUUUUGUGGUGUAGAAAAAGCAACAGGUGGUGAUGAAGAAGUUGUUAAGGAAAAAGGUAAGGUUUUGGUUGUUGAGUAGGAAAUAAGACAUACUGAGAUUGCCCCACCUUUUCCUCAGCGACUGAAACAGAAAAGAAAGGAAGGAAAAUUCAAGAGAUUUAUCGAGAUAUUGAAAGAAUUAAGCUUGAAUAUUCCUAUUCUUGAGGUGUUGGAGAAGAUGCCUAGAUAUGCUAGGUUUAUGAAGCAGUUGGUCACAAAGAAGAGAUAAGCUACGAUUGAGGAUGUUGAUGGUUUGUACCACUGUAGUGCAGUCACUACAAGGUCUUUAUCUUAGAAAAAAGGGUGACCCUAUAGCAUUUACCAUGUACUAUUAGGUCAUCCCGAUUUGAUAGAGCCUUAUAUGACUUAGGUGCCAGCAUAAAUUUGAUGCUAGCCGUAUUCAAGAAAUUGGGCUUGAUUCCUCCUAAACCGACGUUAAUGCGGCUAUUAAUGGCUAACCGUACGGUAACAAAACUCGUGGGAAUCUCUUUUGAAGUGAUUGUGAAAGUGGAUAAUUUCAUAUUCCCAGCUGAAUUUGUCAUUCUGGAUUGUGAGGUUGACACAGCGAUGCCCAUUAUAUUGUGGAGACUAUUUAGGGCCACUUGUAGUGUGAUAGUUGACACAAAGAAAGGAGAGCUAAAAUUCAGAGUCAACGGCGAGGAAGACACCUUCAACAUUCAAAAAUCAAUAAUGUCAGUGAUCAAAUAUAUUGUUGACCAUAAAGGGUACUCCUACGGGGUAUCUUGAUGAAUUAUCAGUAAUCAAGAUACCCACGUCAUGCUGCAACAUUAAAUCAAGAGUUGCAAAGGAAGAGACCCAUGGGCUUGUUGGUGAAGUCUGAGUAACCAACAUAGCCACGUCAUGUCGCGAUGUUAAAUCAAGUGCUGAGUGGGAGGCAACCUACUAUUUUUGUAUUCACUCUUUGUUGUUUCUCUUUUUAUAGGUUUUUAGCUCCUGGACUUACCCGAAAUAUGGUAAAAUUGCUACAUUCAUCAAUUUCCAUGUAAGAGGACUAUGUGACUAACCCACCAUGGUCACAAGUACCACACAAGCCAGGUAAGUUGAACAAUAAAUUGUAAAGUUGAAAUUUUAAGGAGGAAAAAUGAAAGGUGUGGACUUUGGCACCUAUUUCAUGCUUUUAGGACAAUAACUUUACGUUUUGGAACCAUUAAUAUUUGGAAAAAUAUUAAAAAGCCAAGUCUGGAGUGCAGGAAAGUAGGCCAAAAUUUUUAGUCCUGCACUUGCGCCUUACACCUACUGGCCGUAGGUGGCAGGCGCAAGUAGCUUCCAUAGCUAGGUCAUGAGUGGGACCAAAUUUUGAUUAAAAUUUUAGGCCCGCCAACACAUAUAUAUGACCUAAAACAGCCCCCAUCCUUAUUUAAACACAUUUAACCUUAUUCUAACUCAUUCAAAUCCUCAAAACUUCACUUUUCUCCUUAAAUUCAAACUUUUCUCUUAAAAUAUAAACUAACCCCACACUUAGGUAAGGCUAAAUUGACACUUUUUUGAGAUACCAACUUGUCCCAACACACUAAAAACAUGUUCCAACUUUGAUUUUGCUUGAGUUUUUCUUUGUUCACUUUUGGUUCAUCAUAAAAGAGGUACCUUUCUCGGAUGCUAAUGAUUAUGUAUCGAUUUAUUUAUUUUUUAAAAAAGUUGAUAUGUGUAUUUCCAUACAAAAUAUGUAGAUUCCAUCAUGCUUGUAUGUAGGAGCCUUAAAGUAGCCUAAAAUUAUAAUGUAGGGCCUUGUUUUGAAUUAACUUCUAAUGUUAGGCCCUAACCCAAAGUUGAACUUGAAGGAGUAGAGUAAUAUCACAAGUUGAGCAUGUUUAGUUUGCCUUGAAAAUCAUGAUUCCUGACAUAUGUACGUAUAUUAGACAUGCUGGGAUUUCAAAUAUGUUAUAGAGGUAUGAAAAUUGAGGAAAUUUGAAUUUUUCAAAUUUGAGUUUUUCUUCAACUUUGUUAUCCCUCAUUUUUGUUGGAAACUAAAAAUUAGGUUUUCAGGUACAUAUGGCACCUAAAGUUGCUAAGAUGAAGAAGGUCGAUACCUCGAGGAGAUGGGUAGAGUCUUUCGAGCCUAGUAGUUCAGUGGAGGAGUACCCGAUGCAACGAUGUAGAGACACUUCUGUUGGGCUGACACGUAGAGUUACUAGAGGGACGAUGUGCUAAGCUACUCAGUAAUAUUCAGCCUGACCAUGGAUAAAAUCCACGUGAAUGUCAUCCCAUACACUCCUCUACAAGAUGAUGACAACGAUAAGGAUGAGACAAAUUCUGAGUCUACUCCACAGGUUGUAGCUUAGGACCCCCAGUCUGAGGAGGGAUCCUGGUAUUUCUCUGAGUAUGCUGAGUAGAAAGAGUCAUCAGCAGUACCCCAGUCUAAUGAGGGUACCGCUACAUAGGUAGAAUAUCAAAUGUACCCCAGUUCGAGGAGGGUAUAAAGUAGGCUUCCCACAAAGCAUUAGUACAGUAGGGGCAGAGCCCUACACCCACACAUACUAUUAAGGUACCUCUGAGGUAGUGUGUAGAGAAUAUGAUGGCAGUUUAUAAUAUAGAUAGUCAUAUCUCAGAUAGUAGCAGGCCUAAGGGUCUUAUUUAUGAGAAGCACCAAGUUGAUCUAUCUGUAUUGGGGUGAGUACCACAGUUAUGAGUUGUAUUCGAUCGUUACUAGUUAGAGUGGAUGACUAGACCACUCAGUUCUAAUAGCUAGACCAUGGUGUGUGAGUUUUAUGCAUUAUGUUAAGCUACAGUAGAUCCUUCCAUGCAUAAAUUUUUAGGAACAAUGAGGCACAUGGAGCAGCCACAACUUGAUCAUACACUUGUGAGAGGGGCCAGUGUUGAUCUUUCAACAAUGACUAUCCAUCAGGCUAUCUUUGGUCCAGAUUAGAUCACUCCCGCAUCUACAGCUGAGCGUGACUAUAGAUUAAGAGUCAUACGUGAUCGAUAUAUUAUACAAGAGGCUGAGCACAGAAGAGAGAUAGUUGAGAUGGCUAGGUAGAUAGCUAGCUAUAUUUUACCUUUGGAUGAUACUACCCCAUGUAUUAAGGGUUAGGGUAUGAUCAAGAAGGGCCAGUUGACAUUUGAAGCCAAGUUUUAGUGGUUACUGAUCAGAUAUCGAUUGUUCCCUACUACUUCAGAUAAUUUGUUGACUUGGGAGGGAGUAGCCCUAGUUGCUAGUAUGAUGGCCAUAUAUUCUAUUGAUUUUUCUGCUAUUGUCCGAUGUGAGAUCCAUGACAAAACAUUUGGGGAGAUGGCUAAUCUACCAUUUCCUUUCAUGAUUUAGAGACUAUGCAAUAAGGACAAUGUGCUUGAGAUAUUGGGAGUAGAUCAGAGGGUACAUAUGAUGGUUACUAUGCAGAAAAGUGUAUGAAGGAUCUACAUGCCCAGGCCUUACCAGGAGAUUAACAGAGCCAGUCACAGUACCUAGGGCCAAGAAUGAGGUCCCAACAGUUUCCAUAGAGCCUGGUGAUACACAUGCAGACGAUCUGGGUGUUAGUGUUAAUAUAGAGAUAAGGGAGUAGAGAGAGGAUCCAUAUUCGAGUAUGUAGAUAGAGGGGACACCAGCCACCUCUACAUCAACCCAGUUUCGACCUCAGAGUCAGGUUGUGUAUCUUUAGAGCCUACUCGGCCAUCUACUACAACUCUUUCUCUAGGUAUGAUUACUAUAUCCAGAUUGUUCUUGGAAAGCUUAGUGGACAGUUAGAGGGCCACUAAUGCUCAAUUGAGGGUUUUUGAGAUUGAGAUGACUACCCUAUAAGAGAAGAUGAGAUUUAGGGUUCGGACUAGAUUUAAGAAAGUAGAGGCUAGAUGGGAGGCUGCAUGGAGAGCUGCACUGUCUAAGCUAUGUGCUGACUUCCAGAUAAUUCUUACAGAGUUUAAGAGAUGGGUUACAAAUUGAUUUAUAGAGACAGAGAUGCCGUAUCUAGCCAAAUGGGGUAGGAUUUUGAUAUACUAUAAGCAGAUGUGUGCUUUCUCACAGAGAGCGGUGUAUAAUGCACUCCCUCAAUUAUAGCCCCAGUGGUCCAGAUAUUACCUCUACACGAUCGAGAUAGUUUGAUUUCUUUGCAGAUGGUGGUGAGGAGGUCCCAGUAGUUGGGGUCAAGAGAGGCUACAUUGGAGACUUCAAGGAUCCUGAUUGCCAUAUGACCAGGCCGUUAAAAGGGCCAGACAUGAUUUGAUGGAAACUAUAGUCGUUGACAAGCUGAUACAUAUAGAGCUAGCAGCGGUUGCAUCAUCUAGUAGUGCACCGCCACCAUCACCGCCUCCUCCAGCUGAUAUGCCCCCAUCUGGGGAUGCUCAUGACACAAGCGCCUAGUGCAUCCCAGGUAUGUUCUCACUUACCUUUUUUGUAUUAUUUUUAGCACAAAGAGGAUAGUGCAUAAUUUUUUUAGUUAGGGUUGGGGUAUACCAUAGCCUCCAUAAGUUUUUGUUAUCGUACUUCAUUUCCUGUCGGCCGCGGUAUGGUUUUAGAACCACCAUGUCUAGGAUUAUUUGUGUCGUAUUAUUUUUUAUUUUGUAUUGUGAUAUGUUUUUGUGUAAUUAGUAGAUCUAUAAGUAUUUAAGGUAGUAAUCAUAUUUCGAUUGAUUUUUGAUACCCCUCUAAAUUUUAUAUUUUAGUACUGUGUGAACAACAUGGAUCUUAUUAUGGCAGUGAAAUUAGGGCAUUAUAAUCACUUGCUAACUAUUGCAUGAAAUAGAUAAGUAGUAGCUUGUAAAAUUAACUCUAUGCUAUGUGUGUGUGAGAUGAAACUUAGUUCUCUUUUUGUGUUGAAUUCAAAACUUGCCCGGUUAGUCUUACCUAGGUUGUAGGAUAGUCGGUUAGGAAAGGGUCAUAGGCCGUUGUUAAUUUUAGUCCACUUUAAGCCUAAAUUACCUUCCAUGUGUGAAAUAGUAUCCCUUGAUCCCUGUUUUGAGCCUUAUAGCCUAUUUUUCUUGUUUCACAUAUUCACAUUCCCAUUUGUGCUAUAAUGAACCUAUUUUGGCCCUAGUCCUACUUGGACAUUGUGCAUCUCAACUCAAGUAAAAUGUCAAAGUUGAGGGUAGCUAUCAUAGAGGUUCAUAGUGUAAAGUGGGUAUAGAAAAGGGUAAGAUAAGAGAAAAAUUUAGUAGGGCUAGGUGUAGUAAAAAAAGUAAAAGAAAAAAAUUGUGAAAAAGUAAAGAAGAUAGAAUAAAAGACCACACCCAACCUGAAUGUUCAAUAAAGUAUAAAAAAUGGAGAAACAAGGGUGGAAUAAAAAAAAAUUGGCUAUUAAGUGAGAACCCAAGGUUAUUGUAGUGGCAAGGAGGCUUAGUGACUUGAUAUGUCCAUAUAUACCAUAUCAGCCCCCAAGCCUACAUUACAAGCUGAGAAAAGUCCUAUGGUGAUCCUAACUUGAUUGUCUAAAAACUAAGGUAAAGAAAAUAAGGGCAAGCCUAUGGUAUUUGAUGCACAUUUAUUAGAACUUCUCUUUUGAGUGUGAGCGUCUCUUGACUAUCCCUACUUUUGACAUGCAUGAUUUCAUAUAAGUGAGUGGGACAUCUUUGUUGUGAGGGCACAUAAAUCAUAUUACUAGCUAUUUUGUUAUUUUGGGUAGUGUAACUUGUACAUAUGCGUGGUUGUCUGUUGCUAAUGUAAUUCCAUACCUUGAUCCCAUUGUGUCACAUUGUUGUGGUUCAUGUUCAUACAUAUUUGGUUUUAAAAAAUAAUAUAGAAAAGGGUGUUAUGUUUCGAGCUUAAAGUCUUGAUUGACUGCUUUGAAUAGCUUAAAUUCUCCUAGUUAAGUGUCAUUUUUGUUUUGUUGUGUUUGUUUACCUGAGGACAUGCAUACGUUCUAAGUUGAGGGUUUUGAUGUGCUAUAUAAAUAUAGCACUUUUGAUGCUUAAAAUGAAAAAAAUAUGCAAGUUUUUGAGGUUAUUUUGUUAGAUAUAAUGUAUUUUGGGUAGGGGUGCGCAUCGUUCGGUUUGGUUCAAUUUUAUAUAUUAUUGGUUCGGUUUAUCGAUUUUUAGAUUUUAAAUAUGCUAAACCAAUAACCAAACCAAUAAGAUAUUUUUUAUCGAUUUUUGAUUUAUUGGUUUUUAGUCCUUAACGAUUCGGUUUAACCGAUAAGAAAAUACUCAUAAAAUAGAAAUAGUAGUAACUAACAUGAAAAAAAAAUCUAAUCUUAGUUGCAACCAAAAAUCCUACAUAAUGUGUUUUAAUUUAAAAGAAUCUUUAAGUUUGAACUAAAUGUGGUUAGGAGAAAUUAAGAGUUUGUAUAAUUGAAAUAAUAGGUUUGUUAAUUGGUAGAAAUAAAAGAGAAAUUAAAAGAAAUAUAUAAUAUAUAUAUAUAUUCGUAUUAGGUUUUUGGUUUACCCAAUAAACUAAUAAUAAAAAAUUGAACCGAACCAAUAACCCAAUAAUUUUUUUUAUAAAAUCAUUAACAAACCGUUAAUCCAAUAACCCAAUAACAAUAAACCAAUAACAUUUUUAUCGGUUUGAUUUAUUAGUCGGUUUAAUUUUUGCACACCUUUAAUUUUGGGUAUGUUUUGCAGGAAAUCAUGGUUUGGAUGCUAAUUUCAUGAGAAAAUGAAAAAAGAAUUUUUGGCUACUUAUUAGAGCAAUUAUGGAUGUUCGAGACACUUUCUGGCUUGUUCGUGAUCAAACUAUGUGCGAGAAUUGAAGAAGAGAUAAAAAGAUGACUCCCGACACUUGCUAAGUCAACAUAUGGAUCGUAAAUAGUACUUAUGAACUGCAUAUAGGCAAAGCAAGUGCCAAAAGUCCAAAAUCCAAAGAGUUGACUUGUAGGAAAAUUUUGGUCUGGCAUGUGCGAUCGCCACUUACACCCUCCCUGCUAGCCGCAAGUACUACCUACGCCCAUGGAUAGGGUGCAAGUAGAGAUCAUAAGUGGCCAACGAAUCUUUUUUCUCUUUAUUUGGUAUUUGAUUUUAGGGUUUCCUCAUGUACUAUAAAUACCCCUUAUGUGUUUUUUAGUAAAAGUUACACACUUUUGAUACUCACCAACAUAUUUUAAUUUUGGGAUUCGAUUUUGAUCUAGGAACUCUCUUAUAUUAACUUUAGUUGAUUCAAUUUAGAUAUGGUUGUGGGUUUUCUAAUUCUUAUUAUUGUGAUUUCGUCUAUGCAUUCGAUUAUGAAUGUUUAUUUUGCUUAUUUUGUUGCUUGUUUCCGUCUUGUUUGUCCUUAUUUUUGCUCUUGUUUCUGGUUUCUUAUUUGUCUCCUGUCUAUUUUUUGUAGCUUGUUUAUUGUCUCUGUCUGUGCUUAGUUCCAGCUUCCUGUGAGUACAUUGGGGACUGGUUACGGUGCUUAUUAGUGAUUUUUGUGGUGUGUGUUUUGGCUGCUAGGUUAGGUAGUAUUUUAUGUGAGUGCCUUUUUUCUAAUUUUGUAAGGUUGUUUUAUCUGUUAAGUUGUUGGCUUGGGGCUUUAUUUUUGAUGUGUUAGGUGUUGAGUAGUGGCUGGAGGGGUCAAUAGUGAAAUAAGGUCAUGUUUGAGGGGUUAGGAGUGAGGGCAGGAGUGGAUGAGGAGUAUAGGUUAGGUGUUAGGGCUGAGUCGGGAAGGGGUGGUAGAGGGAGGUAAGAGAUGAGAGAAGAUAGGUUACAGGUAGGGUCGUGAAAUAUUGGUACCCUUCAGGGUAAGUCCAUAGAGUUGGUAAAGAUUCUUAAGAAGAGGAGGGUGAAUAUUGUGUGUGUUUAGGAUACUAGGUGGGUAGAAUCUAAGGCUAGGGAUAUGGAUAGGUUCAAGCUUUAGUACUUGGAGAGGGAUGGGUGUCGGAAUGGAGUUGACAUCUUAGUGGAUGAGGAGAUUAAAGGUCAGGUGGUGGAGGUUAAGAGGGUCAGUAAUUGGCUGGUGAAGAUUAAGUUGGUCUUGGGGGGUUUUACGUUGCAUGUGUGUAGUAUUUAUGCGCCGCAGAUGGGCUUAGAAGAUGAGGUGAAGGCGAUAUUUUGGGAAGAUUUGGACGAGGUGGUGAGAAGCGUGCCUAGCGCGGAGAAGAUCGUCAAAGUAGGGGGCUUCAAUAGGCACAUUGGGGUCCUACCUUGAGGCUAUGAUGAUGUGCAUGGUGGUUUUGGCUUCGGUGUUAGAAAUGGCAAGGGAGCAGCCCUGUUGGAUUUUGUAAGGGACUUUGAGCUGGUAGUUGUGAACUCGAGUUUCCCGAAGAAGGAGGAUCACCUGAUUACCUUCUGAAGCGUGAAAGCCAAGACUCAGAUUGACUUUCUGCUGCUUAGGAAGGGGGAUCGGGUGAUAUGUAAGGAUUUUAAGGUAAUUUUGAGCGAGCACCUCUCGACCCAGCAUAAGCUGUUCGUGAUGGACUUAUUUAUCAAUAAGAGAAAGAAGAGAUGGGUCGGGGAGGGUCAAUAUCGAAUUAAGUGAGGUAGCUUGAUGCCAGAAAGUGCACUGGAUAUAGGCAAAAAAGUGGUGGGUAUGAGGGCGUGGGAGUGCAGGGGGGACCCGAUUUCUAUGUGGGAUAGGGCAGCCAGCUGCAUCACAGAGACUGCUAAAGGUGUGUUGGGUGUUUCAAGGGGCCGGACAGAUCAGUAUAAGGGGAACUGGUGGUGGAAUGAAGAAGUAAAGAAGAAAGUGGAGAUCAAGAAGAGGGCGUAUGUUGAGUUGAUUGAGAGUAAAGAUGAAGAAGGGAAACGGGUGAAUAGGGAGGUGUACAAGGUAGCUAGAAAAGAGUCUAAGUGGAAGUUACGACUGCCAAGUCAGCGGCGUUUAAGCAUUUGAAUGUUGGUUUAGAGGAGAAAGGAGGGGAUAAGAGGUUGUAUAGGCUUGGAAAAGUUAGAGAACAGAUGGGUCGUGACCUAGAUCUAGUGAAGUGCAUUAAGAGGGAGGAUGGUAGUGUUCUAGUGGAGGAUGCUCACAUUAAGAAGAGAUUGCAGGACUACUUUCAUAGACUUUUGAACGAGGAAGGGGACAGAGUCACUGAGCUAGGGGAGCUGAAGCAAUCGGAGGAGAGCUAUGAUUUCAGCUACUGCAAGCAUUUUAAGGUAGAAGAGGUCAAAGAGGCUAUUCGUAAGAUGCAGAGGGGUAGGGCAAUGGGGUCGGACGAGAUUCUGGUGUAUUUUUUGUAGUAUGUGGGUGGGGCAGGGCUUAGGUGGUUGACAAAUUUGUUUAACAGUAUUUUCAAGACUGCGAGAAUGCCUAGGCUUGGAGAUAGAGUAUGAUGAUUCUGCUUUAUAAAAACAAGGGUGACAUUUAGAGUUGCAACAACUACAGGGGUAUUAAGCUGUUGAGUCACACUAUAAAGAUUUGGGCGAGAGUGGUUGAGUGGAGAUUGAGGAGGGUUGUGUUUGUUUUGGAGAACCAGCUUGGAUUUAUGCCUGGUCGUUCAACGAUAGAGGCAAUCCAUUUGGUGAGGAUAUUGGUGGAUCAGUAUAGAGAAAGGAAGAGGGACUUACACUUGGUAUUCAUCAACCUAGAAAAGACGUAUGAUAAAGUUUUGAGGAAGGUUCUUUGGAGGUGUUUGAAGGUGAGAAGGGUCCUGGUGGUGUACACCAGAGUUAUUAAGGACAUAUACGGUGAAGGAAAGACCAGGGUGAGGACGGUGGGAGGAGACUCAGACCAUUUUACGGUUGAUAUAGGGUUGCAUUAUGGAUCGACUCUUAGUUCAUUCCUGUUUACGAUGGUGAUGGACGUGUUGAUGCGUAGUAUUCAAGGCGAUGUGCCUUGGUGUAUCUAUUUGCAGAUGGUGUAGUGCUGAUUGAUGAGAGAUCGAUGGGCGUGAAUGACAAAUUAGAGGUUUGGAGGCAAACCCUUGAGUCGAAGGGGUUCAGGUUGAGUAGGUCCAAGACGGAG